UUUUUCUUUUCUUUAUCUAUUUUUGUUUAAGAGUGAAAAACUGCAGUUAUGUCAUUGACAGAGAAGUACAAAACGAUUUUGUACUAGUAAUUUCAGCCAGACCCUUUUUCUUGUUUAUAAGUAAAAAAAAAAAAAAAGAAAAAAGUUUAUGGAAAAUAAUACUAUCAAAAAGGGCCAAAUUUGGCUAGUUGAUAGUGAUCAAGUUCAACAAAUUACUCCACAAACAUCCAAACUUCAUUAAUGCUUAUAAGUAACAUUAGUUUUGCUCACAACAUAUUGAAACCAAUCUUCCAGAUGGUCAGCUAUAGCUACCCACCUACCGAAAAGAACGGACAACGAGAUCAAGAACUACUGGAACACCCACCUAAAGAAGAGGCUGGCGAAGAUGGGCAUCGACCCGGUAACUCACAAGCCGAAGAACGAAACCCUGGGCUCGCCCCAAGGCUACUCCAAGAGCACGGCCAACCUCAGCCACAUCGCUCAGUGGGAGAGCGCGCGCCUUGAAGCCGAGGCUCGGCUUGCGAGGGAAUCCAAACUCCGAGCGACAUCCCUCUCUGCCACUCUCCGCACGACGGAGGGGUCACCGACAUCCACAUUGAGCUUCUCAGAGAAUAAUAACAUGCUCCGUGCUGCGAUCAAUGGGCCAGGGAGUGGAGAAUUGGUAGCAGAUGAAGAAGUGGAGUGGAAAUGCCUCGGAAAGAGGACGAACACCGACUUCUUGGGCUUCCAGGUGGAUACGGCGACGACUUUGGCUUUUGGCGGAGAAGUGCAGUGGAUUCCAGAAACAUCCGAUGGGGAAGUCGGCGCCGGAUUCACUGGCAUGCUGCUGGAUAAUUCGUCCGACGUUGGUGGUGGCGAAUCCAAUAAUGCACGCGGAGGGAGCUCUAUUGAGGAGGGGGAAGAGAGCGGGAACUACUGGAAUAGUAUCUUCAACUUGGUGAUUUCAUCGUCCCCUCCGGAUUCGCCAUCGGUAUUCUGAAAAAUGAAACCUGUCAAGAAUCUUGAUCCAAUGAGUUCAUUUGAUUCUUACAAGUGGUUUGAUUAACUCGGUCUUAAGGCGGCCCGAGUCAAUUCAAAUUGGUAGAAAUGUACUCAGAAAAAAAAAAGGGGGGGUGGGGGUGGGGGUGGGGGUGGAAGGAAAAAAGCUAGAAGGAUUCAGUGAAUUUUUUUUAUAAAAAAAACAAUCAUGUAAUAUUAUUAAUUCCUUAUUAUGGUAGGUUGCAUAUUGCUUUUCGUUCAUGGAGUAAUGUUGUAUGUUAGUAAUAAGAACAAUAACAAUGUACUAGAAACACUGCUGUUGUAAGAAAUUAAGUGCCCUGAGGAUUUCUCCUCCACGGUGGGGUCGGUGCAUUUAAUUAGUACAGGACUUUACAGUUGUUUGUUCAGUGUCUACGUUUCUCUCCGUCUCAAGCAGUUUUUUCAAUUAAUUUGCAAGUCCUUACAUUGAAAUGAUUGUAAAUUUCGACACUACCUAUCCGUCAUAUUCAUUAAGUCAACAUCAAGGGCCUUCACUGUUCUUACUAGCAACAUAAAUACAGAGGUAAGAGGACUCGGCCAUUGAUUACAUUAGUAUACUGAUGAUGAUUUUAUGAAGGAACUUUAUGAAGAAAAUAUGAAAGAACUUUGCGAAGAGUAUGCAUGCGGAUUUGCACUGUAAUUAGCACUGUUAACUCAGAACUACAUGUCACACUCAAUUUCGUUCUUCAGUUAUUUCAUAAUAAGAACGAAAGGAAAGAAGCUCGCUUUAAAAAUGAAUAUGGGAAACUCAGUAUAAAACAUCUAUAAAAAGAACUCUGACGAUUAAAGGGUAGGAAUUCUGGUACUUUCAUUAUUAUAAAGUCAUGAGAAUCCACUGACUAGUAGAAAAAAAAAUACAAUCCAAUACAAACGAGAUCAGAGAAGGUUAUAGCAAAUAUUCUUUCACCCAUAAAUCAAGAAGGUUAUUUCUGCAGGUCAAACCUAUUGUAUCGAAACUACCAUAGUGAAACCUUUAGUCUAAACAGAAUAAAUGAUCGUCAUAAUGGCGCUUUGUGACCCAACUUCUCAACUCUGCUCCCUCUGGUAACAUGUAAAAAAGUUUCACUUUUGGUUUAAUAAGCCCGGACAGAUAAAUAGAUAGAUGAACCAAUGAAGCGAGAUAAGAGAUGAAACACAAACCUGGCACUGAAGGAAAGGAAUACGUACUCUCGGUCCCAUUGAAACCGUUGUCAGUCGCCAUCGCUUUAUUUAAUUCCCAUGUUGUUGCCUCGCCCUUUUGCCCAUGGCUGCUUCUAAUCCAACUCUGCAAACCAGUCGGAAAGGAUAUACUUUUCUCUCCACUCGCUAUUGUCCCUCCCUCAUUUAAAUGCUUUGAUGAUCACCGUGCCACCAUAAAGGUGCCUGUCUCCAUAAGAUAUAUUUUUAACUUUCGGGCGAUGGACUUAAAGGUUGCUUCGUAGUGCAUGUAUUACAUAGCACUAGAGCUGAACAUGGCUGAAAAAGAGUCAACAGACAGGUUAAACCACGAGAAACCAACAUGAUUAACAUGACUGUAGUCAAAAGCAAUUAUUCACAAACAUUGUAAAGCAUGACCUUUAUAACUUACGAGCUUCUAAAUAGUAAAACUAGAAAGCAGUGACUAGAAGUAAACACAAAAUGUAGAGCUGGAUCUACAGUGUUCUAAAGAUGCUGAUACAAAAUACUACGUGGGUCCUAUCAAUGAAUUGAUUGCGUGGUUUACCACGGCUUGAUGUCAAAGACACAGAAACAUCAUUUAAAUGCACAACCAAGGACCACUCUGUUAACAAAAAAAAAAAANAAGGACCACUCUGAAAAAAAAAAAAAAAAAAAAAAAAAAAGUUUUUAGAAGGUUAGAGGAAGAUAGAAUAUCUCAGAUCAGAAGCAACCAAAGGGCCAAUAUCAAUAUGCCAUGAGAACCCGGAAAGAUAAAUCUUGCACGCUGGGUGAUUACUAAUAGUAUGGUUUGAGAAUGAAGAAUAUUGGCAUAAACAAUAAUAUGCUUCCAGUAGGUGACUGAUCUUAAAAUGAAAGAUGAGAUAUGUUCAAGAUGAAUAAAAGCCCUGAACUAUAAUACAGUAAAAUAUCAUGAAACAAACUAAAUGAUUACUACAGUCAUAUUAUUCAGUUGCUGAGAUCAAAAGGAUGGCCUCCCUUUGUUGGUACCCCAAAUCAAUUGGUCCUAUUUCUUCAGUCUGAGCCACAGUAGGUCGGAAAAUAUUAAGCCCAACUUUGGUUGAAACUUGAGAGCAAGAAAACAAGACUUUUUUGUGAGGCCCAAUCGGGCUGCAUUUCAAUUACUAACAACAUGCCAGCCCAAGCUCAGUCCUCUUCACUUCAGGCUGUACUACUCAGCCAAAGGCCUACAGAUGGAGUACUUGUACUGAUGCUUUUUCACAGCAAGCAACUCAUACUACCUUGCCAUCUUCAUCUGUCACCAUCUGAUACAGUUUUCUUCCUAGUUUCAUCCUCACAUGUUCAUGCUCAGAGUCUUCUACUACAUUUAAGAAUUUAUAGUACAGAGCAAUUCAUUGUACCCAACUCAUCAAUAUAAUCCGUUGUUUGCUUGGAGUAGUUCAUAGUCCUUGUUGCAUCCUCAAACAUCUUAGCUGCUCAGCAGACAUAUUUUAUAUGAAUCAGCAAACACGAGAUGAUUGUUACAUUGAUUGGCGGUGUUCAGCCUAAACUAAUUUCAUUACAUAUAUACCAAGGUGGCAAGGCACUAAAAUAAAACCAAUAUUUCGGACAAACCAGAACAAAUUCCAACGCAUUUUCGCGGACAACUCUUUUCAAGGCUUUAAGUUUGACUCGCUCAUAUGAAGCUAGAACUCUAGAUGCAUUCAAAGGCUAUCAGAACUUUUUAAGUUUGGUUGCUCCGCACACUGUGAUUGGACUAGGUAGAACAACUUUUGAGUUCUCAAAGCCCUCGACCUAUGACAACAUAAGACAAUAAUACAAACUCCUAUUUCAAGGAGAGGUUAUGAUGUCGGAUACCUUACAUUAGAGUUACAAACGGAUUCAUUCAUAUAGAACUAAUCAUUUCAGCUUGCCUCCGAGAUAAAUUCUGAGCAAGGUAUAAUUGCACAUGAGUCUCACUCUGCUGCAUAUCAUCUUACUACACAAGUGAAAUAGACCCAAGAGAAAUCGACCCAAAUAGACCUCCUUUUUGAAAUAUUUCAAGCUCAUACAGGUAAAAAUAAUUUAGAAUUGUACACAUUCAUAACAAGUCAAAAUUGAAACUAGGUAAGCAAGUACAUAAUUGAAACUAGGUGGCACGCAUGUUCAACUAUGGUAAAGGAAGAACCAAAGCACAAGAAAACACUAUGAUUUUUUAACUUUGAGAGAUACCAUUAAUUGGAAUGACAAAGUAACAAAUCUAAACAAAAAUAAAACUGUUACAGCCUGUAACGAGCAUCUUAUGCAUGUUAGUGAUGCAAAGAUGCAUUCUUCUUUCAAUAGAUCACAUGAAACACUGUGUGAAUGAAGAUAUAAACUCAAUACAAUGAACCGAUCUCACCUAUCCAUUUUCAUACAUUAAAUCCCUUCCACUUACUGAAGCUACCGAGCUCCCCACCCUCCGAAACCGCCAUCCCAAUGCCGGUUCUCCCACUCCUACUACUACCACCAUAAUAAAGCCUCCACUCAUCCCCCCCUUCCACUCGGAUCAAGCACGGAUCUCCGAUCCCUUGAUUAUCCCAUCCAUUAUCUUCCGUUGAAGCACUUAGUAUCGGCCCAUCACCACAUCUCCUCCAAUUCUUCAAUCCAUCGACACUCUCCGCCAACCCGAUACUCGUUCGGCCAUUUCCACAAACACCUUCAUACACCAUAACAUACUUCCCAUCCUUCUGGUCCCUCACAACAUGCCCGCACCGCACGCCACCCUCGUCGAAACACCCGGCGGCUCCGCCGUCGAGCACUUUCCCCAAUUUCACCCACCGAAUCCCGUCCCUCGACCUGGCGAUCCCGAUCGCAUACCGCCCGCAAUUCACAUCGAACGAAUGGUAGUACAUCCGCAAAUCGCCUCCCCCGUGGUAUACCACCUUCGGGGAGGAGACGAACAACGAGUCCCACUCUCUGGGAGCCCCGACGUCGAUAAGCGCACCGCUGUGGUGCUCGCCUUCUAUCCGCGCCCAAUGGCGACCGUCCUGGCUCACGGCGAGCCCCGGGAGCGACUUGGAAACGCCGUUCUCCGAAGGAGCCGCGUUCGGGAACGCGACCUUCUCGGGGCCGAACCCGGUGUAGUAGAGCCAGUACACGGCGCCGGGGGUUCGGAGCUUCGCACUGGACAUGAUGAGCACAUCGGACGGUCGAACGCGCUCGGUGUCGAACGCCCACCAAUCGGUGCUCGGGCCCAUCACGCGGCCCACGUCGUCGCCGCUCGCGACGUCGCCGGAGCCGCGUUCCCAGUGGACGCCGUUGUUGGAAACCGCGAUUCCGACCGCGUCGGCGCCGCCGCGCGGGCCGAGGCCGUGGUACCACAUCAGCCACCGCUCGCUGGCGUCGGUGAGGUAGCGCUCGACCACCGGGGAGCCGACCACGUGGCAGUCCCAGGAGGCGCGGGCGGUGGGGCCCGCGUCGAACACCAGGCCAUCGGAGGGCGGGGACGAGAUGGACGGCGGGGAUUUCGGAUCGGCGGCGCGCGAGCGGUGGACGCGGCGAGCGGGGGACCGUAGGAUUGAGGAGGAGGGGGUGCGUCGUGGGACGGUUUUGAGCGGAAGGGUUGUUGUGGUUUUGAUGCGAGUGUUUGUGUUUGUGGUCGAGGGGCGGUAUGCGGCCACCGCAGCUGCUGCGGCUUCCAUGUUUUUGGCGUGCGGAGGGAACGGUGGGAUAAAGCGCUUCGCAACGAAGCGGAUAACAUUGUCAUUAUUGAUAGACCACUACCAGUAAGGUUUAGGAGGUCAACUUUGGACAAGGACGUGUUGUUAAUGAGAGAUCAAUCUGCUUAAAUUAAUCACUGGAUUGACUAAUGGCUAUGUCUCCUGGAGAAAUUCGACAAGUGCUUUAAUCUCAGGAUUGCGUGUGGUGUUUGAAAGUAAAGCACACUAUCUGCUUAAUUCUGCUAGAUCUUAUAUCAAAUUCUUUUUUCUUCUUCUACUGUAAAAAUGAUUAAAUCAACACCAAAUAAGCUCUAAUUCAUGUCAAGGAAAUUGGACAAACAAAUUAUGCAAAAGUCAUUGGGAAAUAUUUACGAAACAAAUUCCACUAAUUAACAGUAAUUAAAAAAUAUAAAGAAAUCACCGGUUGGGCCGAAGAUAAUUUUGUCCGAGCUCAGCCUAAAUAAUACGGCCCACACAUGAGCCUCCACCAAGUUUCGGCCCAUUAAAUACCGCCGCACAAAAUUAUGUGUAGACUAAAAAUCCUGGAAACGGGCGAAGAGAGAAGGAACGAAGUCGAAGCCAAAAGUCACCCAACCCAUCUCCUCCUACUCUCCAAUUCUCAACCCCUUCGAUCUCCACUCGUUUACUAAGGUACUCUUCGCUUUCUUUCUUUUUUUAUUUCAUUUAAUUUUAAGGCUUAGAUUCCUUGUAAUCUCGUGUGCUAGGGUUUCAUUUGAAUCCCAAAAUUCAUACUGCUCACUUUUUACUCUGAUCGAAAGCUUGAAUCCUAUAUAAGAACCCUAGAUCAACCCAUUGGUAUGAUUCACAACGAUUUGUUUGUUGGAUUUAUGAGAAUGAUCAUGCUUACAGGAGUAAAAUUUGCUUCUUCAGGAAGCUUCUAGAAGGAGAUGGGGAAAGACUCGACGGCGAAGGAGCCAUCAGGAAAGGGCAAGGGGAAGCAGGCUGCCGCCGGGGGCGAAGAGAAUGCUUCGAAGGGUAAAGGGAAGGGCGGCAAGGCGGCCGAUGGUCUCGGCACCUGCACUUAUGUCAAAGGUUUUAUUUUUCCUUUUAUUUCUAGGCUAUCUAAUUUUGUCCAUUGUAACUAUCUACAGGAUUAAGAUUUAAUUGUUCAUAAUUGAGGAUUAGUUGCAGAAGCAGGGAGGUUGUGAUUUAGUUACUCUUUGCCUGAGUUGUAGUAUUUGGAACUCAUCGGAAUUGUUUGCAUGAUAUUCUAAUUUUGGUCAUAAGACCCAUUUAAUUUGUACUGUUGCAAUGGUCGUGGAGAACAUGUCGCGCAACCUCUUUCCUUUCUCUUUCUCUGUUUCUCUCUACACAUGCAUGACACACACACAUAUGCAUAGAGACAUCUAAGAAUGGGAAAAUAAAGAUAUAUAACUUCUUUGUGCACAUUUGUUGACAAGUUUAUUCUUGAUGUGAUUCUGCCUGAGACUGAGGAAGAUAAAAAAAUUGACUUUUUUCCUAUGUGGACUCUGUUGAGAAGUUUAUCAAAGCUAAUAAGUUUUCUUCAAGUAAUUUCUGAAUCAAAUGCAUACCAUACUCACUUUUUUCUGAAACACAAAUCCUUGCUGUUCAUUUCCGGAUCAAAUGCAUACCCUUUACCAAGUUUCGGAGUUUGGAACAUUUUUAGCUCUUGCAAAGACUUCUUGUCUUUUGACAAAGCGCAAAAGGCACUGAUAGUCCUAUCUGUUAAAGGAAGUUACUUUGCAAUAUGGUUUUUCUGCAUAUAACUUUUUUUUGAAUAGUAAAUCAUAACAGCAGCUGUUUUAACUUGUUAAAGAUGCAACUUAAUUUCACACUUAGAUGUCAUAAAAACAUGACACAACUUGAAUUAUUACUCCCUUUGUCAUGAUUGAAAAUUCGUUGGAUCCUAGAUACUUCAAGAAUAGGUGGCCUAAUAGACAAAACUUUAGCAAUAUUCGAACUAUAUUUCCUUUUACUGAUAUUUUACUUAUUUCCGUAUGAUGGUUACAAUGAUUGUCCUGUAUGACGUGGUUUUUACCGCUCCAUAUAAUUAAUCCUUAAUUAUUUUCUUUUCCAGCUAGGCAUAUUUUAUGUGAAAAGCAAGGGAAGAUUAAUGAGGCCUACAAGAAGCUGCAAGAUGGUUGGCUAAACAACGGAGACAAAGUUCCUCCUGCUGAGUUUGCCAAAGUAAGCCAGAUGACUAACUAAUUGGGAAUCCAGAAAUACUCAGGAAACUAAGUACUGUUGGCUUGCGAAGCAUUGAGGCCGCCCUCGCCUAAUAUAUCUGAAAUGCUGUCAUAUAUAUAUUUUUUAAAGCUUAAUAUUAUUUAUGGUUAACAAAUAGGCUGAAUAGCUAAUAUUCUUAACAUCCUUGAAAAGAACGAAAAGGUUGCUUCUUGUAUUGAUGUAACUUUAUAAUUUAUUUGGUUGUGGCGAUAUCAGAUAGCAGCAGAAUAUUCAGAAUGCCCAUCAGGAAAGAAAGGGGGUGAUCUUGGGUGGUUUCCCAGAGGGAAAAUGGCUGGCCCUUUUCAGGAUGUUGCUUUUAGCACAGCUGUGGGAGCUACCAGUGCUCCGUUCAAGUCUACGUAUGCCCCGUUCAUGUCCUUUUCUCACAAUUCAUUACCAAGCUCAUGUUCCUCUUAUAUAUUUCUGUGAGGAUGUACUCGUUAGAAAAUUAAUGCAAAAACAAUACCAGUAUUCUCGAACUUUGCGGUUGACCGAAUGCUGUGUUUGUUUUUGAAAAUGCCCCUUGUUUUUCUUUUCUACUACGCUAAUCAUAUUUACGGGUUUCAUGCAGGCAUGGCUACCAUAUUAUCCUAAGCGAGGGGCGGAAAAACUGAUUUCUGUUUCGCCUUCCUAAACUCUGUGGACAAUGUGGUGACCUGUCAAGGAAGCACAGGAAUCUAGUAAAAUUCGAAGGACAAGCCUUUGUUCUUUAAGAUCUAAUAAGCAGAGGAAUCUUUGGUGUAACCUUCUAAGGGGAUUUGAACUUGUCUAAGUAUUAUUUGGCGUGGUUUUGCUGUAAAGUGUGUUUGGUGCAAGUAACUUCAUGUAUGUUUGCAUCCUUGCUAUGUAAUUUGAAGGAAUCGAGACUUGUGGCAUUUCAAUCAGAGUUUUUCAUUUGAUAAAAUCUCCUUGCGAUGGGCCACUAAAAAAAGAAAAAAAAAAAAGGAAAAAAGGAAAAAAAAAGAGAGGAACUUUUUAAGCCGUGCAGGAAUGUUGGUUGCAUGCGCUUCAUGCGAGAGUUUCGUUUAAGGGUGAUAACAAAAUUAUGCAUGGAUCUUCCUACUGUAAGAUUUUACGGUUGAUUUAUUAAAUCUUUUUUUUGUUGAAUUUUUCAAAAAAUUAGAAGAAUGACGUAAAACCAUUCACACAAUAUCGCACUUUUUGAAAUUCUCUUGUGAUCUGAAAUUACGCUACUGUAGAGAUAUUGGAACAUUCUUUAGCCCUUUUGAAAAAGAAAAGUUUUCUAGUACCAAAAAAAAAAAAAAGGAGAGCGUGGUGAUGCUAUCCGUUAUCCAUGUAACCAACGGUCAUGCUUUAAAAAUCCAUCGCUCCUCCCGCACUCACUUCCCAGCGGGAGUAGCAACCAUGGCUCUGCAUCAUCUUCUUCUUACUCCUCCUCAUCCUUUCUCCUUCUCUCCCCCUCUUCUUCCCCUCCUCACCCCUUUUUCCAGCUCUACCCAUCGCUCCAUCUCUCUCCUCACCACCACAAACCCUAGACCAAAACUCUACUCCACCGCACUCCGCCCCACCCACGCCCUCCUCCAAACCCUAGAUUCCGGCUCCGUCCCCUCCGAAUCCGCGCUCGGUGACUUUUCCCAGUGGCUUCGCAAGAACGGCGCGGUGGGCUCCUCUCCACCUCCCGUGAAGCCGAGCUUCGUCCCCGAGGGCUUGGGCCUUGUCGCCCAGAGAGAUCUCCCCAGGAACGAGGUGGUGGUGGAGGUCCCCAAGAAGCUCUGGAUCGACGCCGACACUGUCGCCGCCUCCGCCAUCGGGCGCGUCUGUGGCGGCCUCAAGCCCUGGGUCGCAAUCUCGCUCUUCCUCCUCAGGGAGAAGGCGAUGGGCGAUGCGUCGCCGUGGCGUCCCUACCUCGACAUCCUUCCGCGCCAAACCGAUUCCACCAUCUUCUGGUGAGAUAUGCCCUUCAACUGUUCCAUUCCUCUGUUUAAUUGUUCGGUUUCAUGCUGAUCUCAAGUGUCAUUUGCUACUUCCAGUGCAGGUCGGAAGAGGAGCUUCUGGAGAUACAAGGUAAGAUAAAAUCUCUGAUUUUAUAUAUAUCUUACGAAGAAGGAAAUAUCUGGGUGAUUGUUUUGCUAUUUGGAUGGAUUAUUUUGGCUAAGUAGUUAGCUACACAAAUCGAGUAUUGCUAUUUGGAUGGAUUAUUUUGGCUAAGUAGUUAGCUACACAAAUCGAGUAUAAAAAUUUAUCACCUGGUAAGGUAUACUGUAUACACCUACUAAAAUACAGCAAAGGAGUAGGACGUAGAACCCUUCUUAGUGUCAUGUACUGCUCUGUACACUAGAUAAUUGAAUUCCUUACCCUCCAAUGUGCCACACAAAAAUAUCGCUUCUUAAAAAUGAAGAGAAGGAAGCAAAGUAUUGGAGUGCAAAAGGAUAGCUGAGUAGCUAAGUUUGUUUAUAGUUGGCUGUGUAUCACUUGGAGAUUGUUUAUGAUGGGCUCUUUUACUUCAAGCGACUAAAAUGGAUUAAGUUAUGAAAUUAAUUACGAAAUUAUUACUUUAUUGUCAUCAUUAUGCACUUACCUAGUUACGAUUUGUUAAUAAGUGUUGCCUUAGUACAGUAAGUUUCUUUCAGUUGGUUGUUUUGGAAAUAGUGUCGAACCAUAUCAGGAUUCCCAUUUUUGGCCAGAAUAAUGGAAUUUAUACAGUAAUCAUGUACACAAGUAGGAGUCUUUGUUACCUUACCAAGUUAAUAAAAGAAAUUAUAGUUUGCAGCUCAUACGUCUCCUGGUUUAUUUGGUACAGUCAUUUCACGUGUUCGAUCCACUUAAAUUAUUUUCCACCUUGUUUUUCUGACUUUUUUGUUGUAGCUAAGUGAUGCUCUUUUCCAUCAACAAACAUGCCGACAUCUCUAAAAUAUAUCCUUUGCAGGAACUCAAUUAUUAAGCACAACAAUCGGCGUAAAAGAGUAUGUGAAAAGUGAAUUUGAUCAGGUUGAAGAUGCCAUUAUAGUUCGAUACAAGGAUCUUUUCCCUUCGACUAUAACAUUCCUUGAUUUCCUGUGGGCAUUCGGAAUACUCAGAUCAAGAGCAUUUCCACGUCUCCGUGGGGAAAAUCUUGCUCUGAUACCGUUGGCUGACCUGGUAAUAUCAGUUCUAAUUAUUUCUUGCGCAUUAUUAUGAAUUGCUACUAUUAUAUUUAAAACUCCAUGUAUGUGGAAAUAAUCUGAAUAGGAUUGAUAUGUGGCGUGCAAAGACCAUGUUUUCCAUCAGUGGCGUGCAAAGACUAUGUUUUCCAUCAGAAUACCAUCCUCUGAGAAUAUAACACAAAGUUUUAUCUGUUGCUAGAUGUUUAACAGUUUAAAACAAGUUUAUUUAUUGUUCUAUUGGAGAGAAUAUACUCCUAAAAUUCAAGAUCUUCCCAAAGUCUCUGCAAUCAUGUGUUAAAUUCUCACAUUUAUGCUACUGGGUUAAGAUUCUUGUUUGCAGAAAUGAACAACUUUAUUAUUGCAUUCUAGUUCAGGCUGAGUGAUGCUUUAAUUGCACAACUUAUGCUCAAUAUUUUCACAAUUUAUUGUAUCAUGGAAUCACAUGAUAUAUUUGCAUUUUUAACUCAUGCCUGCUUGACUGAAGAACAGGCGACGACAAAUUUUGUGAAAUUGAUCAGUACUAAAUGAAGAAUAAUCUAAUUGUGACUCUUCCAGUAUAACCAAAUAAUUUGUAUCUAACUGUCAAACUUCUGCUUUGAAUCAGAUUAACCACAGUGAUGCCAUUACUUCAGGAGACCCUUCUUGGGAGAUUAAAGGAAAGGGUCUUUUUUCAAGAGAGCUUAUAUUCUCUUUGAGGACUCCAGUCCCUGUAAAAUCCGGUGAACAGGUAAAUUCUUUAGACCCAAACUCAAUUUUAUGUGAAAACAUGUGCGAUAAUCGAAGUGGUGCAGGUAUACAUUCAGUUUGAUCUAUCAAAGAGCAAUGCCGAACUGGCCCUUGAUUAUGGCUUCAUCGAAUCGAGGUCGGAUCGUCAGGCAUAUACUUUGACUCUGGAGAUCUCUGAAUCAGACCCAUUUUACGGAGACAAGCUGGACAUUGCGGAGUCGAAUGGUCUAGGGGAGACUGCAUACUUUGAUAUUGUCCUGGGUGGCUCUCUUCCUCCUCAGAUGCUUCCUUAUUUGAGAUUGGUUGCUCUUGGAGGAACAGAUGCAUUCCUCUUAGAAUCCAUUUUCAGAAAUUCUGUUUGGGGUCACCUUGAAUUACCUGUGAGCCGCGCCAAUGAGGAAACCAUAUGCCGUGUUGUUAGAUAUGCCUGUAAAUCUGCCCUCUCUAGCUAUAGGACAACCAUACAGGAGGUACAGUUUUAUCUCUAGCUUAAAGAAAUUAAACAAAUCAAAGAGAGUUUAAUAAUUAUUACUGAACCUAAAGCAAUCCAUGAGCCCACUUUCGAUUCUUGUGCUUACGAAACUGAUUCGGUGUAGUUUGCCUUCUUUCUAAUUCCUUAUCUUGCAAUAUGCAGGAUGAAGAACUUAUUAAUGGCGGAAAUCUGGAUCGGAGACUUAGAAUUGCUGUUGGUGUAAGAGCAGGCGAAAAGAAAGUACUUAACCAAAUCGAAGAUAUUUUCCGAGAGAGGGAAUUGGAGUUAGACGGUUUGGAAUACUACCAAGAAAGGAGGCUCAAAGACCUUGGUCUAACCGGCGAACAAGGAGAAAUUAUCUUCUGGGAAUCACGAUAGAGAUGAUGUUUGUAAUAAUAUAUACAUAUCCCUUCGGUGAUGUACUUAUAUUUACGUGCAAGCGCAUGAAAAUUUUCCCACACCAGUUUGGUGUUGCAUUAAGUACAAAGGAAGUGCACUGUGGACUAGUAGGAGAGAACAUUGAUGAGAGCUUUGUAGGAACAAUGCCCCUCCCCCCUCUUCCUCCUUUUCAUCUUUGUAAACCGUACUCUAGAUCACUACAGCAGCACCUCUUUUUGAUGCUUCAGAGAUGCAAAUCCAUGAGACAGCUCACGCAGCUUCAUGCCCAGCUGCUGCUCAACGGCUUCUCCCAGAAGUGCUUCCUCCUCACCAAACUCCUCUCCUUCUGUAUCGCCUCCGGCGACGUCUCUCAUGCCGCCACUGCGUUCUCCCUUGUCGACCAUCCGAGCACCACCCUUUCCAACCAGAUGCUCCGAGCCCUCUCUCUUAGCCCUACGCCUCUCAAUUGCCUCCUUUUCUACAACCAAAUGCUACAGAGGCGAGAAACGUUCAAGCCCAAUGGCUUCACCUACGCUUUCCUAUUCUCCGCGUGCGCUAGAGCAAACUCGUCCCUUUUGUGCCAAGGUGAGCAACUACAUGCUCGGAUUGUUUCUGCCGGAUUCGGCUCAAACGUCUACGUCCAGACCAAUCUCAUCAACAUGUAUGCAACUGCCACCGCUGCCGCCGGCGGCACGAGAGAAGAGGCGAUCGCGCGCGCCCGCAAGGUGUUCGAUGAUAUGCCGCAGCGGAGCAUCGUCUCCUGGAACUCCAUGCUGGCUGUGUACUUGCAGUUGGGGGAGUUGCACACAGCUUCCGAAUUCUUCGGCGAGAUGCCUAAGAGGGAUGCCGUGUCGUGGACCGCCAUGAUCACUGGCUGGGCUCGUGCGGGAAAAGCCUCGCAAGCACUGGAGCUGUUCCGGGAGAUGCGCAGGGCCCGCGUGACCCCCGAUCAGGUAACCAUGAUUGCACUCCUGUCGGUGUGCACGGAACUGGGGGACUUGGAACUGGGCCGGUGGAUCCAUGCGCGCUUGGACCCUUUACAAGGAGGGCGAGACCGUCUCGUGUCGCUCAACAAUGCGCUAAUCCACAUGUACAUCAAAUGCGGCGCCGUCGACGAGGCUCUCCACAUCUUUCACGAGAUGCCAAUGAGAAGCACCAUCUCUUGGACGACCAUGAUUGCUGGUCUUGCAAUGCAUGGCAGCUCCGAGGACGCGUUGGGUCUCUUUCGCUCGAUGCGAGAGAAACCCGAUGCCAUGACGUUCCUCGCAGUACUCUGCACAUGCAGCCACUCGGGGAGGAUCGACGAAGGCCGCCAUUAUUUCAUGAGCAUGCGAAAGCAGCACGGAAUCAGACCAGACGUACGGCACUACGGCUGCAUGGUCGACAUGCUGACUCGUGCAGGCCGGCUGGGCGAGGCCCUGGAGUUGGUGGAGGCAAUGCCGAUGCGGCCGAGCGAUGCGGUGUGGGGAUCGCUGCUCGGCGGGUGCAGAAGGCAUGGAGAGGUAGAGCUCGCCGGGCACGUGGUGGAGAGGUUGAUGGAGCUGAAGCCGGAGAGAGCUGCGGGGUACCUAGUGCUGCUAUCGAAUGUGUAUGCAGCAGUGAGCAGGUGGGAGGAAGCUCACAGGGUGAGGGAGAGGAUGGUAGAUUUGGCCGAGCACAAGCCUGCGGGGCGAAGUUGGAUGAAUCCAAAUGAGUGAAACACUGAAACCUGCACCGCAGCACCGGAAAGGAGCGAGGUGGUACUCUAUCCUCUACCAGAAGAUGCGUCUAGGGGCUAAAUGCAAGUAAUUAAGAUGAUGAUCUAUGACCUGCCACUGAUAGCGCUUGGUGGUGCGCCACCGUUCCACUGCAGAAACCAUCAGAAACUAAAGAUGAUAGAUAACAAGACCAUACGAAAACGAACAUGUUAGCCGCUAUUAGCACGUAGGGUGAAAAAGCUGGACUGGAGCCAAGGAAGACGCUCACAAGCUUUGUUUCUAUAUUAAAGAGUUCUACAAAUCUGAAAGCUUAACCUGAAAGGUAUAUCACCGUCUGUGAUCUGCGAUUCUUGUUCCUAUUCAAUGUAAAACUAAAAUUCUUAAACAAUCCACCGAUAACUUGUUUGAUAUAUUUAUAGAUAUUGAUAUAUAUUUUAUUGCGAAUCAUAAGUUUGAUUCUUAAGUCUUAACUACUGUGAUAUUAUAACAUAUCAUAAAGGUAUUAUGUAGACAUACAUUGUAUUAAUUAUAAAUUUACCAUUUGUGAUGAGUAAAUAAGAGAGAGAUGAUGAACAAAUAUUCAGCCGUCAUAAAAUUCCAAAACAUUACAAGCCAUAAUGGUAUUGUUUAAGUGAAUUUAUUCAACACACACAACAACAUAAGAACUAGGAAAGGUCUCAAUCCAAACAACACUCGAAGAAUGUGAACUACAAACAAAUGUGCAACACGGCACCGCAAACUUUACUAAGCCAUUAGUGUUGUUGGGGGGAAUCAAACCACACCAAGAGGGGGAAAUUUCACUGUAAAUGGUUCACUCAUCAUUGUAAUUGCGACGGUGAUGGUAUUUGUGGUGGCCGCAUCUCUGUUCCUCUUCAGUUUCAUCUCCCUAUUAAUAAUUCCCAAAACGGGAUAAUCAUCAAUCCGAUUCAAUUUUUUCAAAAAGAUUCGGUUAUAAUAUCUUAUCGUUCGAAUUCUACUCUGAUCUAGUAGACAUCCUUAACCAAUAAAAAGGAGUAUUAUUCAUUCCUAUUCUACGUAGAAAUAUCUAAAAUCAACUAAAGAAACACAUAAUAAUGAGCUAAAGCAUUUGAAAAUACAAACACAAAUCAAACUACUUUAAUUUGAGCACAAAAAAACAUCAAGUACUACUCACAUAUAUAUUUAGGGCGGUUAUAAUUGUACACUUCCCCUUGGCCCUGCACGUAGUAGCUGGGCUUCGCAUGCGUACCACUCUCCUCCUCAUAGCUUGGCCUCUCAUAACUACUAGGUCUCUCUCCAUGUCCAUACUCUUCGCUCAUCCCAUAACCACCACCAUCACCACCACUGUUAUACGCACACUGCGGCUUCGGCCGAGGACGCCCGUAUCGGCGAUCACCGGAGUCAGUACUGUCGGCGUAGUAAGAAGAUGCGGCGGAGUCGGAGGAGUAUUGGGCUCUAUUGGAGUCGGCAGCAGAGGAAGAGGAGGUGGACUGGGAGGAUGAGAUGGGGUAGCAAAUGUCGUCGGACGGCGGGAGGGGCUGGCCGAAGGUGAGGCUUAUGUCAUAGCCGCCGCCGUAGGGCGUCGGGUCGUACUCGACGUAGUCGUUGACGUCGUCGACUGAUAGAUCGCCGCCGCCGCCUCCUCUCCACGCCAUCGCUGGCAGCUUCUCCCUCUCUAUCUGACUCUCCUUCUUUGAUGGUAGCUGUGCCGUUACGUCGCUAGCUGGUUUACGUGAGAGGAUGGUAGUGAUAGAGUUUAUAUAAAUCUGUGUGUUGGUUAAUAGGAUAAAUAUAAUGUUGUGUAUAUUUUUAAAUGUAUAUUAUGAAGAUUACAAGUACUUUGUCAAACAUCCAGAUGGGUGCGACUUCUUAUUUUUCUCAGCUUGCUGAUAUUCUGGUCAGCUCCUCUAGUAUCGAAAUUGCCCUCCUGAAAAUUCGGGCUAAAAGUUAUGAAUAUAUAUAUUCACGAAAAAAAAAGUGCCUAAUUAAUGUUAUAUAUGCGAUAGAAUAUUACAUGUUAGACUAGGUCUAGCCAGUAAUUUCAUUCUUAUAAACAGCAUAAACCAAAAACUUCGUGGGAAACGACGAUAUGACGAGAGAUAAGACUUUCCUAGGCCUUUCGACUGGUCAAGCGUAAUACUUUUCGGGACCUUUUCUAAUCGAGCAAAAGGUUUUUUUUUUUUUUUUUUAAGAAAUAGGUAGCACGCUAUCUGCUUUGUUUAUUUUAUUUAGAAAUAAACUUAGCGAAAAAUGUGAAUCAACUAGGAUUCGAACUUGGGUCUCAGAUACCAACCAUCAAGCCCUUUACCACUUACUCUAGAGACGGCCGGUUAUUUUUUAAUAAAAUAGUUACUGUUGAAAGAUGGAAUGUGUGGAUCUUUUUUUACAAAAGUACAUGUGCUUAGCAUGGUUUACCAAAUCAGUUUCUCCUCCCUUUCAUGUUGAAUUUGUUUCAUGUUGAUUGUUAACGUGUUUGGCAUUAAUUAUGAUUUAUCCUGCAAACAUUUAAGAGGAAUGAUUUUUUUUUUUUUUAUUUGACAAAGAGUUUUCUCGAUAAGAUAGUUAAUGUACAACAUGUUCUCAAUCUCGAGUUGCCUUAGCUUUUCUUACAGUGCAGUGAAAUACACCUCAUCGCAUAUGUUGAAAGUAAUAAGCCAAUAAGAUUGAGGCCAUGCAACACCAGAGUUGGAUCCACAACAGUAAGAUAUAAGACUACAGCAAUCACUUUAGGACUUUGUCGCAUCCUUCAAACUAUCCGAGAGAAUCCGACACAACUUCCACCAAGGAAACGUAGUGAACAAUAAACUAGUGCCUGUGUUAUCAUAUUUACAAAAGGAAGAAAAAAAAUUUGCAAAUCAAAUGUCGCAUUUAACCAAAGGCAAGUGUACCUCUUCUUACCAUAUCCUCUGCUCAAUCCAACCAGAGUUGUGAAUAUAGACAGAGAAGAUCAUGAUACAGUUGUUAAUAAGACAAGCAGUCCAUCGAUAUACCAAAUAUAUACAGAGUCGAUAUAUCUCGAAUCAAACAACAGCCGUAUUUUUUUUAAUGAACAAUGGCAUCUUUUACAUACACAACCCAUUUUGGGCGGACAACAACUUGACAAAAAACAAACAAGCAUAAGAAAUCGAGAAUUAAAUAACUGUUCAAAAAUACAGGAGAGUGAAAUCUUAUCUUCCCAGUCCACAACUAGUGGUCCAAGGGUUGUAGCUAAGCUCGACACCAAUAACUCAUUUCCCCUGAUUUGCUUUUCCAGAUAUCAUAUUUCUGCUUCACUUGCUCAUGUUUCUUGUACUCUUUCGUAUUCUUGUUUUAUGAAUUAAUUUAUCGCAAAUUGGUUCCAGCAAUCAGCAAUCCAUGGCAUAUACAAGAAAUCAACCCCAUUCUUGACCAAACCACCAUAUACAAAUAACCAACUGCUUUUAGAAUAUUCCUUCGGUAGUUACACAAGCUCAUUUUAUGUGCAAGAUGGGCACCCCUUCUAAUUGUUUUUUUAUAGAAUUUUCAACAUUCGAUCAUUUUCUCCUGCUAUGAAUUGCCUUUCUCUUGGCUACCCGCUGGCAACAAUCUCCGCCUUAACACUUGGGUGCUAGCUGCAGCUUUCAGCAGCGGCUUUAAGGCAGCCAUAAUCUCCGAAAAUGAUGGCCGUUUCUUUGGGUCUCUACAAUAUGUUCAAAAGAGAAGAAAAAGAAGAAAAUCAAAGAAUAAAUAAAGGAAUCAGUGAAAAAAAUAACACGGGACUGAGGGUGAGCAUAUUAGUGUUUGCUGAAUCCAACUUCCUCGCAAGUGUACACGAAGUAAAUGGCAGAGCAAUAUAUACCAAAUCACUGUGCUGUAAAAUGUCUACUGCAUGUCUACUGUUAAAGAGAAAAGGCGGCAACACAAGUGUUGAGGCCAAUCUAUCAAGAUCUGUACAAUCAAUCAACUGAUGAAAAUCUAAUUACUCCGGUAGCUUAGGUAAGAUGUAUGUAUAGCAGUUGGACAAUUAUUUAUGAAAAGGAGGAAGCUUAUGUGGCGAUGGAUCUGCCCAACUUAGAAAACAAGGUAAGAGGUUCAUUCUUUUCAUCAAAGAUCCGAGGGAACUUCAAUAGCAAACACAAUUAAGGACACAACAGGUAAAGAUAAUUUUGAAUCUCUUAGAGGAAACAGGUUUAUAUUUGUUGGGCAAUAUAUAAAGAAAUUUGAAAAUAAGAAGUAUACUAACGUUUGCCAGCACUUCUUUAUAAUGUCUGCUAUGACAGGAUCCAUGUCAUCUGGAAUGUCAAGGCGGCGAUGCUGAAAUCCAACAGCUCCAACAACUUGCAUGGGAUUCAUGCCUUCCCAUGGCUGCUGCAAUGUGCACAGCUCCCAUAGUAUGACACCGAAGCUAAAAACGUCACACCUGAAUAUGCAAACUAUGGAUUAGUGAAAUAAGAUACCAUGCAAAAAUUUAAACAAAAUAUGCUACUUAAAAAGCAAAACACACUUCUCAUCUGAAGGUUCAUUUCUGAGUACUUCUGGUGCCAUCCACUCAGCCUACAGCAUACAAAGAAGAACAUCAACAUGGACCAAGAUGAAAUGUAAAGGCAGUAUAACAAUAACUUAGGAAACCAGAGGAUGUAUCCUGGAAGUAAAUGGUUAAAAGCGUAAGAGCUAACAUAUAUCAAAUUUGUUCAAUAUGUUUUAAUGCGCUAAAAUUGUACAAAGCUAGUGCGCACUAAUGUGAUGUUGCAAAAUUAUUAGAUACUUCUUUAUCUUUAAAUGACACUUUAUGAUAAGUUUUGGAACAUCGCACAAACUGCAGCGACGCAUGGCAAAUGAAUGAUAGAUAUCAGGCCUCAGUAAUAUCAGGUACAAGUGAACCAAGUAUAGGAAAAUGAGUAACUGGGAAUAUAAGGACAACUGAAGGCAUUGGAAAAGGCAAAGUUUGAGUAAAUUCUUAAGCAAAUAUAUGUCAGAUAACAGAUAUAUCUAAACGAAGACUAAACAAAAUGCUUACUGUUCCAGCUGUUGAUCUUGAAGAAAGAAAUGUACUGUGCUUCAUUCGUGAUAAACCAAAGUCACAGACCUGAAUUGAUUUGAAGAGAAUAAGCAGUAAGUUUGUGCUAUGAGAAAACGGCAUGAUGCUAAUACUUAGAGGAUAUGACAUUUACUCUUAAAGUUAGAAUGGUACCUUUACAACCCAAUUCUUGUCGACAAGAAGGUUUGGAGAUUUGAGAUCACGAUGUACUAUAAUUGGUGUGCAAUUGUGCAAGUAAUUCAUUCCACGAGCCUGCAGACCAAAAUUAAUACGAUAGUACUAAAUAUGAUUGUUUUAUGGCAUCAUUGAGUGUGUCAGUACAUAACAAGAUGCAGAUGAAAGAAUCACUAAGAGUUAUGUAUCAUACAACAUCAAGUGCCAUCCUUAGUCGUCUCCUUUCAUCUAACUGGUUGUUAGGUCGAUGAAUCAAUCGGAACAAGCUCCCUCUGCAUUUUAUAGUACAUCCUUUAAGCACUUUUCAUAAAAAUCGACAUAUGCCAUAGUAGAAUAUUAAAUCUAUCUUAAUUAAAAGAAUGCAUAUCAUUAGAUCAUAAUCACUCAAAUUACCAAAGAAAUUUUGGUGAUGAGUGCCAUUAGGACAAAAUAUCAUUAGAUCAGUCAAAAAAUACUACUGCUGUAGAACGCAAAAUGGGAAAAACAGAAAGGAAAAACCUAGUCCAGAUACACUCUGGAAUUACAAAAAAAAACAGCAUUAAACUUCUUAAAAAAUGCACGCAGACCUUGAUGUUUCUUCCAGUAAAACUUAGAAACAAAUGGUUGACAAUGUAAAAGAAGACACAGUACUUUCAGUUAUAAGAUUGGUGUGACUACAUUAAUGAACUGUUAGCAAGAUUGACUGCAUAAACAAAUCAAAGAAAACAUACCUAGGAAGAAACUCUGUUACAAUGGCAAGAUUGGGCACACGGGUUACAGCACCCAUGAGGAGGACAACAUUUGGGUGUCGUAAUCUUCUCAUUAUCCGCACCUUAAGAGCAAAUAAAUAAAAAUUGAAGGCCAGGAACCAACUUUUCCAUAAAUAAUUAAUACUAUUAAAGUUUGUGCAGAACUAAACUAACAGGUCAGCACAUUGAGUGAAGUAUGACUACAGUCUAACCAGUAACCAAGUAUAACUUUUAUUGAAAAGGCAGCUGUCGCAGGUAAGGUAAUAUUAUCUUUGUUUGAACACAAAUGUAAUUGUUGAUACAGCAUGAUAUAUACCUCACUUCUAAAUUCUUCCAAAGCAUCACCCGAGAUAUCUUGGUGUAAGAACUUCUUAACUGCAACUUCCUACAAGGAGAAAAGAGCAUAUGCUAAGAAAGAACAAUCAACAAAACAACGGAGAAAAGUCAAUUAAUGGGUAGAGCUUCCGCCAAAGGUAAGAGUUAUAUGGCCGAAGGAGAGAACAGCUCCUAGUAAGUUUAAGAUCAGCUAAAGAGAAAAAAAAGGAGAUAGAAGAAAGGAAAUACACUAUCUUGAAUUUAGAGCAUAGACACAAUAUACAAGGCAGGUUACAGCAAUAAAAUAGGGGAACAUUGAAACUUGGUUGAAAAAUGGUUUUACAAUCAACAUAGACUUGGAUCUUCAUAUUUAAGCUGCUGACAAAAUGGUCGAAUGACCAGAAAUAAAGCAACAAAGGAGAUAUAAUAUUAUAAUGAGACAAUGGCCUUUCUUUAUCUGACAACAAAUGUAUCACAUUAACCCUAGGAAGAAUCACUUGAAAAUAUUAGAUGUUAUUCUCUGAACGCUCCAAAUAUAUUAUAAUUGACAUCAGUUUUCACAUCUAGAAGUUGUAAAAAACUCUUUGCCAUUAGAAGCAUAAGUAAAUUACUUGAACGAAUGAAAGGACUUACUGUUCCAUGCAACUCUCCCUUGUACACCUCUCCAAAGGAGCCUAGUAAGACAAGAAAUGUCACUCAUGAGAAAUAAGUGACUGUAAUAAACAAAAUAUUGUUCCUAAUAACAAAAUUUUGGCUUAAAUACUAUUUAUAUCACAUAAGAAUAUGAAGCACUAAAAGAUUUAGUAAAUGCAACUUCAUAAAAACCAUACCUAGACCUAUCCGUUCACCCAAAGUGAGGUCCUCCCAUUGUAUCUCAAGUUCCGCAACAUCAUCUAGAGCAAUAUCAGAUUUCGUGCUGUCAGUCCCAGUUGACUUUCCUGAAUUUCGUUCUGCUUCUUGCUGGUGAGUUUCACCCGUGCCUUUUUCUUGCUCAGGACCAUCAUGAUCAUUUUCUAUAUGCCGAUUAUCCCAAACAUCAUAUCCAGCUCCCUCAGUUGAAUCUGCUCCUUGACCAAAUGCAGGUAAAAAUGGUACAGGGACACGAGACUCCAAGUUCUCAUAUUGCCUACUAACAGCAGCAGUUGUCGCAACAACGGCAGCAGCAGUAACAGUAGCUGCAGCAGCAACAGGGACUUCAAUAUUCAUUUCUGCGCUCGAUUUAACUGCAGCAACAACCAUCGAAGAGGCAACAACAGCAGCUGUAGCAGCAGCAGCAGCAACAGGCAUGUGCUUUAUAAGCUGUAAUGGAGUCUCCUGCGAAAGCACAUCAGAAGCUUCGGAGGUAGAUGAAGUGCCAGCUGCUUCUCGGAAGUCAAGAGGGCGAUGAAGCCCCAAACCUUCUACAGGCUUCAACGGGCGGAUUCGGUUCGUGAUCUCGUCCUCUUUUUCACCCUUAUAUCCACUUUGAGACUUGUCUUCGGUCAUCAAAUCUUCCGAAUAUCCCGUAUACAAUUCCGAAAAUAAGUUAGGGGGUGCAAUAACUCCACUUUCGAGCAAUACAUCUUGAAGUUUUUGGGCUAAUUGUGGGUUUUCUUUAGCAGCGUCAAUCAUGUACUGUGAAACAUCCUGCACUUUCAUUUUGUUGACAGCUGAAGAAGAAUUGAUUCCAGCAAUCCUAGAAGGCGAUUUUGCAACAGUAAUACCAGACUUUUCUUGAGCUUUCACAGUUUUACUGAUGUUAGUAUCUCUAGAUUUGCCAAUGGGAUGUGCUUUUUCUUUCAUAUGCAGGUUGGUUGAAAAGUUCUUGAGCGAACUUAGUUUCUCACUUUCUUUAUUGCUGAACUCCAAUGUAUGAAUUCCACUAGUAUCUGAAGCUUCAGGAUAGCUAGACAAUGAUCGUUUAUCAAGCGGCUCACUAUCUAAAGAGCAACCAGCAGAACUUGAGACCCCGCUUACAGAAGAACCCAUAUGAACACUAUCAGCACCUUUGCUGAAAGGGCUAACUACAAAGAUAUUUUCUUCGUAGUCUUUUACCAGCCCAGCACCAUCCGAUGGGAUAAGAGUACCAGGAUAGGCCAUUAAAUCAACGAUGUACUCUCUGCGAUGCAAGAAAUAAACUUGUAAUGUUUAUGUUGAUAAUCAAUCAUCCAAUUUCAUAGAAAAUGAAUCUAACAUUCUAAGUUGAAUAUCUAAGCUAGGGAAUGAGAAUGUUCCAACUAUGUGAAACAACGAAAAAUUGUAUGAAAUAAAGGACAUAAAUAAAUCAGAGAAAUAUUGAGAGGUCUUAGUUUCUGGCAGCCUUCUUUAUAUGCGUAGUUUGAUUGAGCAAUCAAAUUAUCAAGCUUACAAUCUAUAUAGUAUGUCCGAAACUACAAGUAAACCAACAAUUGGGCCAACUUUCCAUGCCCAAGUGGGCUGGAAAUUACUAAACCAUGGGAAUAAUAUGGUAACUGUUGGGCACCAUAAAUGCAUUACCUUCCAUCCUUUACUUUUACGAUGUUCAAAGCCCCAUCAUCUGAUCCAGUAUAUUGCUUUCCCUUUACUAAUCGACAUGGAAUGCCCACACUAUCAGCCAAAACCUACAUAGAUAUUUGAAAAAAAUAACCCAUUUUUACAUCUCAUAUAACAAUGAAAGAGAGGGCUUCAAAAACGCAGCCAGGAGUAAUGUGCUGUAGUAUUAUUUUGACCCCAAAAAAAAAGUAUCAUGUGAUCCAUAAUAUCACACACGUUUCUUUGAACGAUGAAUGAUUUUUCAAGUUUUAGAACAACAUAUCGGUACAAAAGCAUGGGAGUCACCUGCCUAGUUUAAUCCACAACAAAUAAUUUUUUUAAUCAGGUUCUAUUUUUAAAAGCAAGCUGAAUCCAUUCAUAUUCAGGUCAGACCGAGUUAUGUUCUGAAACUUACUUGCAGAACAGGUUUGUUGUUUAUAUUGCCUGGGAUUGCUGAUAAGGAAAGGAGAAAAAAAUGCAAGAAUAAUUAUGAAGGAUCAAGUAUCUGUGACGUGUAAAUAUUACACAACUAGAACAGUAACACACUAAGGCAGUAUUAAAAUGCACAGCACAACUAUGUGUCACCCAUCACCAAAAAAAAAAAAAAAAAAAAAAAAAAACUGCAAACGGAACUAAAUUGUCUACAAAACUAACGUAAUAUUGCACAAAUAGAACAGUAAUGAUAACAACACCAAGGCAGUACUAAAAUACACAGCACAACUAUGUGUCACCCAUCACUAGCAAAACUGCAGAAGGAACUAAAUUUGUCUACAAAAUUAAUGUAUUUGGGAAAGGACUGUCAGGAUUUGAUCAAGUGAGAUUUGAAGUUUCAUAAUACAAAGCGGACCCAACAUAUUAACCGAUGCUAGCCAUUUUGAAAUGAUUUUCAGUUCGAUAUGGCAUAGUUUCUUUGGACUGGCUGUGAAUUAGAAUAACGGUAGACCAAUACUCGUGCGACCUUUUAUCUCGUAUACAGUAAGGGUAAACAAAAGAGCAUCUAAUAAGGAGGAAGAAAUCCUGACCUUGAAUAACAAUGCACGAUGACGAGCCAAACCAAUUGUUAAACGGCCAAGAGGCAAGACCAAAUUACCGACACUUUCUCGUAAAUAGCUACUGAGUUUUUGAUAUGACAUCAGCAUGCUUUCAGGAUCGUAAACUAUUCCACCCAUGUAGUUAGCUACCAAAUUAGCAAGCCUCUGCACCAAAGCACCCUCAACAAAGUCUGAAGACUGUGACCUUGCUUCACGGGCCAUGAUUAAGGCCUUCUUCUCAAGUUUUAAGAGGUCACCAUCUUCUGUUCUAUUAACCAACACAGCCUCCCAACUCACAUUAUCUGAAAAUGGUGCUCCUUGGAGAUCAAUAAGAGAAGGCAUCUUAGCAGAGUUAGGCUCAACCAUUAUGCCGUAGAGGUAAUAGAAACCAUCCAAGAUCUUAUCAUCAAAGUUCAAGGAGUUGUAAUUCUGUGGAGAACGAAGAAAUCUACAAUAUGAGACAAAUCAGAAAAAGAUAGUCAUAGAAAUAUGAAUGAGUAGAAUAUCUUGGUUAUCAUAAACUUAAAAGCACACAGGAAACAUGCCAUCUUAGAAAUAGCUGCCUGGCUGAAAAUCAUGAUAGUCAUGACAAGACAAAUCCUGAUCAACAGAAGAAGCGCUCUGCUAAAUCAGUUAUCAGAGAAAACUCAUUUCCAGACAAAAAGGGCAUCAUUUACAAACUGUUGCGUAGAGUAAUGAAUAAUGAUGAUGAGUAGACAAAUGUUUCUCACUUCAAACUCAAAUACUAUGAGUAGAAAAACAAGUGUCCUUUAAAAGGCGGCUGAAAACAAUGAGCAGUUAAUUUUUCAAACCAGUCUAAUGAAGCCAAUUUAUGGUACGGAUAUGGCAAAUUAAUAAGAUGACAAACUUACUACUGUGUUUUCUUUUUUUUGAUUUUUUUUUUUUAAAAAAAACAUGAAAUACUGAUUUAGUGGAAAACAUGAUUUCAACAAAGUGUAGUGCGGGGAAGAUGGAAUAGUGAUUUAGUGGAAUCGAAAAAUACAAUUUCUUUUUUGAGAUUACUAAAACAUAAAACAGAAUACUGCAUUCAUCCACAGUUUCCCAACAACAUCAUCCUAGUCUUGUACAGUUGCGGAGGUGGUCAAAUUUUAUUCCUGCUCCGUGUCCCAUCUCUAGCAUAGCCUCAAUUAUACCAGAGAUAUAUUAUAUUUAUCAUCUAACAAACCCUAGAAAGCAAAUUAGGCAUGCUAUCAAUCCGAAACAGGAACUCUUUACUUCAGUCUAGCAAAGUCAAAAUUGAAACAUGCUGUCUAAACUGCAAACAUUGCAGUUCCUAGCUGAGUCAUUGUCCAUUUUUCUAGUUCCUUUCUUUUCUCCAACUUUCUCUCGAAGCCAUUACAAGGACUUCUCAUAGCAUUAUUUUCUGAUGAUCUCAAAAUUUACCCAUACUUUCUCUUUCACAAUCUUACAACAUCCCUGGUGAACUAAAUUGCAGGACUCAAGAACUCUUAUGAUCUCCUACAUAAACUCGGACCGUGGCUCUUGUUGCGUAGCCGUAAUGCCACGAAUGACACUCAAAACGACAUCAACCGCACAUAUUUGAAUGGCUCUCAACAAUUACUUGCACGGUUUAAUUGGCGGAGCAAGUUUCCUUUGUUUCCCGGGCGAUCGAUCGAGUGAAGUUUCUGAUGACUCGAGAACAUAGUUGACAUUUUCAAUAAUGGAGAUUCGGUUUUAAAAAGACAAAAAGAAAAAACGAAAACAGAUAUAGGAUAAGGUAAUUGAUGGAGAACUGGAAACUGACCCAGUAUCUGUAAGCAAGAACCUCGGCCGGGGUGCUCUCGGGCGGGCACGAACCGAGGCUGAUCUGCUUCACGACCUCGAUCUGGACCGCCUCCGGGUCCUCCCUCGCGCUCAUCUCCAGCGCCAGCUGUAUCUGAUACUCCUCCUCCAUAUCCGUCUCCGCCGCUGCCGCCCCAGUCCUCUUCGCUUCUAUCGCCGCCGCAUCCGCAGCCGCCGACGUCGUCGCCGACGCCGACGCCGGUGACGACGCCGAAGGCCCCGCCUCCCUCCUCUCUCCCCUGUGCGAAGAUGACGGUGAUGACGACGACGACAACAACUGCGGCGGCGUCGGAGGAGGAGGAGAACCCUGACCCGAAGGGCCGUGCUUCCCGGUAACGGAGUUCAACCAAUUGGAAAGCCCCGACAAGGGCUUCGGCUCUUGAUUGCCGCCGCCGCCGCCGCCGCCGCCGCCCUUAGUCGAGGGGGACGAGGGCCCAUCGUCGCCGUGGGAUUGGCUCGGCCCGAUGUGGAGCUUCUUUAAGAGGUUCUUCAUACUCCUCCUUCUCUCUCUCUCUCUCUCUCUCUCUCUCUCUCUCUCUCUCCUCCAGCUACUACCACUACUACUACUACUACUAUUGGAGCAUCGAAGGAUCAGAGAGGGGUCGAAGCAGUAGUAGUAGAAGCAGUAGGUAGAGGAAUUAGGGGAGAAGAGGGGAGAUCCAAGAUGCCCAUUGGGGUGCUUCGUACGUGCGGCGGUUGACCGACUCAAGAUUGGCACGGGGGAGCGGGAUUAUUACAAAGUAAAAGGAAAAAUAAUAAUAAUAGUGGGGGUUAUUUCUCUUUCUUGGGUACAGCAGUACAGCCUGACAGGAGAUAGAAGAAGAGACGAAAGCGGGGUGGGGAAGCGCAGCGCACACAGCGGGGAAGCACGAUAAAAAAAACAGGAAAAAGGAGGGGAUGGAGACCAAGUUGGACUGAUCGGGAUGCGGCGGUGGGGCCCGCAGGAGGAAAGGGAGAAGCCGGGUUGAGGCGCCCCACUUGGGCAGUCGGACCAACUGGCUCCUCUUGAGGUCCGGGCCGAGCUCCGCGUAGGCUCGCAUGCCGCGGAGCCGACGUGAGUGCCUCGGGCUUUUACCUCGAGCGGAAUUCGAGAGGAAAUCGCCAGAAAUCAUCCGCGGACCCACUCCACCGCGUCGUCCGUGAACCGCCCUAGGCUAGUCCUGCGCAUGUUCUCUCUCUUACGGAUCACUCAGGUUCACGCACAAGAUAGUCAAAUAAGAUGUUGUAUUCUUACCGACCGUUAUUGGGGCAUGUUUGUUGGUUGUUCAAAAAUGGAUGAAGCGAAAAAAAUCACUUUUACAAAAGUAAUUUUUACAAAAGUAACUUUUCAGUCUAAUUGUUUGGUUGACUAUAAAUAAAGUUAAAAAUUAAAACUAUAAUUUUGUUAUUUUGAUUAUUAAAUUAUAUAUAAAUAGAUGAAAAUAUAAACAAACGAUGCAUUUUAAAUUAAAAUUUUAAAAUUUAUAUUUAUAUUUAGAAUUUAAUAUUACAUUUUAAAAUUUAAAUUCAAAAUUUAAUUAAAAAUAAAAUUUAUAAAUUUAAAUUUAAAUAUAAAGCCACAAAUUUGAAUUUAAAAUUUAUGUUAAAUUUUAAUUUAUAAAUAAAUUUCAGAAUGUAAUCAUAAUUUUAAUUCAAAUUUAAAGUAAAAUUAAACUUUAAAAAUAAAUUUUUAAAUAUUAAAGUUAACACCAAAUAUAACCUCUUAGUUAAGCUCUCCACUUUCAGUGACUUCCAAAUUUUUUGAACUGAGGUCAAAAAAGUGUGAUUUAAUUAUAACUCACUUUAUUAGCCCACUUUCGUAAAAUGACUUUCAUAUUCACUUUCGCAAAACAAAUAACUGAUAAAGCGUCACUUUCUAAAAGUAUCACUUUCGAUGCUUCACUUUCGGCGACCUAAACAUGCCCUUAGUGAAAGUGACAAAUAAUUUAGUAAUUGGUACUCGAAAUUUUAAAUUUUAAAUUUAGUUGAUUUAUAUUUUUAGUUAAGUUUAUUUCUAAAUAAAAUAAACGAAAUAGGUAGCAUACUAUCUAUCUCUUAAAAAAAAAAUGCCGCAUUUUUUAUCUUUGUAAAAAAAUUUAGAGACUCUAAUAAGCAAAAUUUUACAAGUUGAAUGAGGUAUACAGGCAUGCCCAAAUGACAACGAAAAAAAAAAGAGUAUAUAGAGCGAUGUAUAAUAUAGUCACAUUUGUCUUUUAUUAUAUACAUUAUUUUUUGCACUAUGAGAAUCCAAUGAAGAAAAUUUGAUUUUGAUAAAAUAUUUAAAAAUGUAGCAAGAAAAGUCAUUUGAGAUAAUUUUCGUAUUAUUGGACUGAGCUAAUAUGGCCUUAUUUGACUAGUUAGGAAUCAAUUACGAAAAAAAAUUUUCAAUCUUAAUUUUUCUUACUAAUUUUAUCAUGUUCACAAAGUAUGUAUAUGAUAAAAAUUUUAAUUUAUUGGGUUGUGAGAGUUGACGAAAUGAUGAGAUAUGCAAAACAACAUAUGCUUUUGGAUUCUCUAUUUUGUAGCUAAUUAAUUUUUAGCAAUUGCAGAUUUUUGGGGACGUAGCCAUCCAUUUGAUGAAUUGCUACACCCUGUCUAGGCAAUAAUAUAAUUUGUGAUAGGGAGCGGGGGAAAAUACUGUCACGUGUGAGCCGUACGAGUUAAAUUGCAAUACAGCUCUAAACCAGCCACUUAUUAGAGAGCUGUCCUUUUUGGUGCACUCCAGUGGGCUUUGUCCGGACAUUAAUUUAUUGAGAGAAUGGAACUAAAAGAUUAUCUUUUUUGUACUAUUGUUGUGCAAAACAAAGCAUAUUCUAAGUUACAAAAUGUACUCAUGGUGCAUCGCCAGCCCAUUGUGUCUGGCAAGUGCUGCUCUGUUUCUUUUUCUUUAAAAAAAUAAUAUAAUAUAAAACCUGAGCUCUAACUCCUGGACUAACCGUAUUUAGAUUUAGGACUAUUAAAACUGACUUUUAAAUUUCUCUGCGAUUUGUGAGCAUGUAAAAACAAGGAGAAAUAGAUUCUUAACUUGCAGUUGGUACAUAUAUUAUAAUUUUGUAUUCGAUGAUCCAAGAUAUUCACCAAAUUCUAUUCUUGUAGUAAUAGCUCUUAGAUAUACAUCUCUGAUCGAUUCGCAAUACAACUUGCUACACAAUGUGCCCUUUUUCUUCUUAAGCUUAUCGCUUAACUGGUCUCUAGGGGUUGAAGGAAUAAUUUCAACAAAGCUUCAUCUUUUCUCUAAAGCUCCCUUUAAUUUAUUGGUUUUUUUUUAUAUAUAGAAAAGACUUCCGAAUCAGUCUAUUAAGUAUUUGAGCCCUAAUAGAAAGAUCUUAGAUAGACUAUAUUCCAGAAGCCUUAUACAUCGAUAUCACAGAAUCCUAACCUUUCCCAAAAAAGACUAGAUAUUCACACAUACUUACCUCCCUACUUUCUAAUCCGGAAAAGUAGAGCUAUAAAGAAGUAUAUAAAAGAGGAUAACGACCAAUCAGAUGAUCGAAUUUUAUCAACAUUACCGGCUUAAUUAACUUAAGAAAUGAUUUCUGGUGGGCUAAAUAAAUUUAGCUGGCCAGAGUAUUUUUCUUUAUCUUCUUCUUUUGUUUAGCCCACAUGCUUCCAAAAAAUAAGUGAAUGCUGACAUCUGCAAACUUUAGCCUGCAACAUGCUAAGACAGGCAAAGGAUUAGGUUUGUUAUUUGAUGGUCCCAUACCAGCUCCUAUAAAUUCUGACUGAUUUUUGAGGCAUUAAAUACUAGUAUCAUUUGAGAUUAGAGUUUUAUUAUGAGUACCCUCAAGAUUACCCCCUAGUGUAACCUCUAUGUCUCAAAGAAAUUGUUGCCUCCGCCCGCUGCACGAGCGAAACUUACGCUCUGCACGCAACAUUCAAUUUUAAUAUCUUAGAAUCAAAAUUUAAUAUGAUCUGAAGCGUCUAAAGUAACAAAUAAUUCCAAAGUCCAAUGGUAUAGAAAGAAAUUCACAAAAAAAGAGAAUCCAAAAUUUAUGACUUUGUGUAUUUAGACUUUUGGAAUGAUGUAUGACAUAUCCAACAACUAAUUUUUUAAAUAUUUUUUUCCAGUUAAUUGGUAGGUGGGUACCUUUAGUUUGGAAAAAAAAAAAAAAAAAAAACGUUAAAAAAAUUAAAGAGUAUACACUAGAGGGUACCCUUAUAAGCAUUUUGCUUCGAGAUAACAUCUUCCAGGCUCCACCAAAGUCUCAUGCUGCUUCCGUAAAAGGGCACUGAGAAUGAGGAGAAAAUGAGUUUUCCUUUCCCUUUCACGCCAACGCUUCAGAGCAUUUAUUCCCCCAUUCUUAAUGUGAUUCGGGCUAUCGAUGUAUUCAAUCAGUUUUUUCAAAUCCAAGCAUCAGAUUUUUUUUUUUUUUGAACUGUUCUUGUGAAUUUUAAAUUGAUUUUUAGUGGCCUAUGAAAUUUGUUAUCUAUUUUUACCUAUCCUAUACGGAGAAGCAUGGGGACUUCAUAUAUAUAUAUAUUUUUAAUUCAAGAGAUUUCUCAUACUUCUAUUAUAACGUGGAAUGCAUAUUUUUCUUCAUGUAAGCAGUACUUCGCUUGAAAUUGCUCGUUGACCCGUUUGCAUUUUAACUUAAAAUAAUCCUUUCUUGGGCCCGUGAACAUAAUAAAUUCAUGUAUGCGUGAGUGUGUGCUAACUCUCAUUGAUGUAAACUUUAUCUCAACGAAUCUGAGAGCAGUAGGAAUCACCCGAUCAAUUAAAUGUUUUACUAAGUUUUAAUGGAACGCUGACAUAAUUACAUAUUAAAAAAUGUUAUUGAUGAGUUAAUUAUUAUCUACAUGAAGCUUAGUGGUUGAUUUUUUUUCCUGAUUGAUAUUGCAAGUAAUUUGGUUUUUCAAAUUUUAAAUUAAAACUGUCUAACACGAUAUCGAAAAUAAAUCGGCUCAAGAGUCUCAUCAUGCCUAUUGUGCGUCACAAAAAAAUUCUAUACAUCUAUAAUGCAAUAGCAAUCUAAUAAAUCCUUCAGACGAGCCAUCGUCCACUGAAAUUUAAUGACAAAUUUUAUUAACAAUAUCAAAUAAUAAAAAAGCUUGACCGCAUAGAGGCGGGGCCACUAGACCAAUGCCCCUCAUAAUGUGGUAUAUUUAAUUGGAAAUUGGGAGCUUAAGAAAUCAAAAUUUAUUACUAUAUUAAAUAAUAUAGAAUUCAUAAAUGAGUGAUUGGAUGGGCAAAUGAUGUGGAGGGUACCAAUAGACAAAGAGGAUUUAGCAUGAUUGGUUGUGAUGAUGCUGAUGGCCCAAUCUCGACAGCUACUGUAAUGAUGGAAGAGAUAACAACCGGCCUUUGCAAUUGUUGCGGUUAUACAUUUCUUUUUUAUAAUAUAUAUAUAUAUAUAUAUAUAGAGAGAGAGAGAGAGUGCGGCUAAGAUGCUUACGAAAGCACGGAGGGCUCCGUACUUCUACUUUAUUUUCGAUGUUCGGACUUUCGAAUCGACGAUCGGCUCCGUUAGACUUGAUCUAGAGUAUUUGAAGUAUCUAGAAAAUAAAUUUUGCGAUUUUUCGAUAUCAUUUGCCUAGUGAUCGAAGUGGCUCAAAAUCAACGACUGAAAAUAAAAAUCUUACAAAAUAUGAUGAUAUGAUAUUAAAAUUUUAGAUCAAAGUUAUUGAUCUUGUUUUAUAUGGUAUAAAAAAUUUUCUAUCAAAAUUUCAUGUGAUUUGGAUAUUUCUACACCGUUAAACUUGCAACCGGCUCACCACGGCCUUUAAAUUAUUGAUUUUGAGGCCCUUCGAUCACUAGGCAAAUCAUAUCGAAAAAUCACAAAAUUUAUUUCUAGGUACUUCAAAUACUCUAGAUCAACCUAACGGAGCCGAUCGUCGAUUUGAAAGUCUGAACAUCGAAAACAACUUGGAAGCACAGAGAGCUCCGUGCUUCCAUAAGCAUACCAGCCCACUAUAUAAUUAUAUAUAUAUAUAUAUUAUAUAGAGAGAGAGAGAGAGGAGAGAGAGAGAGAGAGAGAGAGAGAGAGAGAGAGAGAGGAGAGAGUCCGCUAGGAUACUAUCGAUAGCAAGAGCUUGGUGCUAUCGAGUUUUCUACCAUUAGAUUUAACACCUGAUUAUUUUUACCGUUAGAUUAUACUAUUAACCAACCACCCACUCAACCUAGGAGGCUCACAUUAUCCUAACCGCACAUUUCUCAAUCCAAUGGCUAAAAAACUAAUAACACAAAUAGUUUGGUGCUACUGAUAGUAUUACGUCUAGUUCUAUUAAUAUAUAUAUAUAAAUAUAUAUAUAUAUAUAUAUAUAGAUCGGCUACUAUGCUAUUAAUAGCACGAAGCACUUGGUGCUACCAAGUUUUCCGCCGUUAGAUCUACCCUUUGGAUCAUUUUCACCCGUUAGAUCAUACUAUUCAACCAACCACCCACUCAACCCUAGGGGGCCCACAUCAUCCUAACCACACAUCUCUUAAUCCAAUGGCCAAAAACUUGGUAGCACCAACGACUUGGUGCUAUUAAUAGCAUAGUAGCCUAGUUCUAUAUGAGUCCGGCUACUAUGCUAUUAAUAGCACGAAGCACUUGGUGCUACCAAGUUUUCCGCCGUUAGAUCUACCCUUUGGAUCAUUUUCACCCGUUUUCUAGAACAUUUAAAACUUCUAGAAAUUAAAUUUUAUAAUUUUUCGAUAUCAUUUACCUUACAAUCAAUAGCUCACAAAAUUGACAAAUUUUAACGGCCGGUAUGUGAUACUUGUUAGUUUAACGGUGUAAAAGAAUCGAAAUAGCUUGAAUUUUUUAUAGAAAAUUAUAUUCAUUACCUAGAUAAAGAUCAAUAACCCCGAUCUUAAAUUGAAGGAUCCGAUCAUCUAUUUUUAGGACGUCAUUCGAUUUUGGCCGUUCAUUUUAUAUCCACUUAAUGGACUUUAUAAUGAUUUCGAAAAGUUACGAAAUUUAUUUUCUAUAAGUUUCAAAUACUCUAGAUCAUGUUUAACGGUGUGGAUCGUCGAUUCGGAAGCCUGAACAUCGAAAACAACUUAUGAGUACGAAGGACUCUAUACUCAUAAGAGUAUAGUAGCCCUACUAUAUAUAUAUAUAUAUAUAUAGUGAGGCUACUAUGCUUCUGGAAGCACGGAGCCUUCCGUGCUUCCAGAUCGUUUUCUAUGUUGCGACUUUCGAAUCGUCGAUCGGCUCCAUUAAACUUGAUCUAUAGUAUUUGAAGUACUUAGAAAAUAAAAUUUGCAAUUUUUCGAUAUCAUUUGCCUAGUGAUCGAAAGAACUCAAAAUCAAUAAUUUUAAUGGCCGUGGUGAGCUGUUUGCAAGUUUAAUGGUGUAGAAAUAUUCAAAUCAUAUGAAAUUUUGAUAGAAAAUUCUUUAUAUUAUAUAAAACAAGAUCAAUAUCUUUGAUCUAAAAUUUUAAUGUCAUAUUAUCACAUUUUGUAAGAUUUUUAUUUUCAGCCGUUGAUUUUGAGCCCCUUAGUUCGCUAGGCAAAUGAUAUCGAAAAAUUGCAAAAUUUAUUUUCUAGGUACUUCAAAUACUCUAGAUCAAGUUUAACGGAGCCGAUCGACGAUCCGAAAGUCGCAAUAUUAAAAACGAUCUGAAAGCAGGAAGGUUCCAUGCUUCCAAAGCAUAGAGCUUCACUCAUAUAUAUAUAUAUAUUAUAUUAUUAUAAUAUAUAUAUAUAUAUAAUAAUUUAAAACUUUAUAUUUAUAUUAUAAAUAUUUUUAUAUGAAAGAAACUAAAAUAUAUUUGAAAUUCAGAAUUGGAUAUGGGUAUAUGAUGUAUAAAUUUUUUUCAGUGUUUAGGUUGCCCGGUUAGUAUAUAUAUAUAUAUAUUAAAAAAAUAUAUAUUUUAAGUUUUUAGAAAAUAUGGCUUGUUUCAAAUUACUUAUUGUUUCAAGGCGCGGAUAGGAGAAAGCUUGAUGGUUGACAUUUGAGGUUUUAACUUCGAAAGUUAGUAGCUUUACAUUUUUAGCUAAGUUUAUUGUUGAAAAUAAUAAACGAAAUGAAAAGCAUGCUAUCUUUUUCUUUUAAAAGAAAACGAUUAUUUCAAAUUCUUUUAAUAUUAGAGGAUAAAGAAAAGAAGAGUUGCCUAUAUUAAAAGUGCUAUUCAAGAUAACUUAAUAUGAUCGAACCGUCCCUAGAACAAGUGGCAAAGAGCUUGGUGGUUGGUAUCCGAGACCGAACUUCGAAUCCUAGUUGAUUCACAUUUUCAGCCGGAUAGCGUACUAUCUAUCUCUCAAAAAAAGAAGAAGAAGAUAACUUAACAUGAGAUACAAAUAACAAUUUUAUUAAACAAUGUAUCUCAUUUAUAUAAUUUUUUUAUUUAGUAUACCCAGCUUCAUCUUCCAAUUUCUACUGGUAAAAUUCUAUUUCCAUAUCUCAAACCUAUUUCACAUAUUGAUACUGCAAUAAUUAAAAGAGAGUUGAUACGGACACAUUAAAUUUUGUUAAGCCCAAAGUGAAUUUACCUUUUCUUUUCCAUCACUCUACAAUUAUACUCUCAUUCAGUGGAAAGUAACUUUUCACUUAUGAGGGAACCGGAUUAAAUUGAGCAAAAUUAAAAGUAAUUAUUUUUCAAGCCAAACGCGCAUCACUUUUUUUUAAAAAAAAAGGCAACAUGCUACCCGCUUCAUUCAUUCAGAAGAUGAAUUAAACUACAUGGGUGAGGCAACACAGACCUCGAGGAUGGCGGAAAAAAAAAAACAACAUUAUUGCACUGAGCGCAGUUUCUCCCAAAGACUCAUCAACAGUUUAAUCUUAUAAAUUUUAAUGAUGGGGUCAGGCUGUGUUGUCUUGAAGAUCACUCCAUUCCUAAUCUCCCAAAGGGCCCACCAGCAGGCUAUUAGUCCAUUUAGGUCGGUGCAUCACUUUCUUAAAAAUCAACUUCUCUCUCUUUUUCUUUUUCUUUUGAUUUUAACAGGAAUGCCAUCUAAGCUACAGAGAAAAAAAAAUCCCUGAAAAAGAAGAUAGAAAGAGAGAAAACAUAUAACUUCUUUAUUUUUGAAUAAAAUUACAGAAAUUAUAUUAGAACCUAAUUAUUAGAUUAAAAUACUAUUAAUAGCACGAAGAAGUCAUUGAUACUAUUAAGUUUUCGGUCUUUAAAUAAAAAAAUAUGUAGUUAGGAUGAUAAUAGUCUUAUUAGGGUUUAGUAAAUUGAUAUAAUAGUAUAAUUUAAAGGAAGAAAAUGAUCAAAUUAGUCGAUACUAAAUGCUUAGUGCUAUCAAUUAUAUAAUAUAAUUUUUUAAUAAAAUAUUUUGUCGUAGGCAGUGCAUGCACGGCCUACGUUCUCUCGGCCCAGCGGGAGUGGAGGACGAGGCUAUCUCCGGACGGCCCACGGUCACCAAAUUUGGACGGCCAAGAUCGCUUUGUAGGCCGGCGAAACCGCAGAUCGCAGCCGCACACCUCCUACAGUAAAAAAAAACAACCCGUGGGUCCCACCCCCAUAAUUUCCUAUCCCUGUCGUCAACUGACAAAAAUUAUACGGGGGAAUAGCCCGAAACAAGUUUGUUGGGGCCACUCCCGGAUGUGCGCCACGUGGCAGCCGAUCCACGCGGAUCCAUCGGUCUCGUUGCUCUCCCUGUUGGGAGAGCAGUCUAUUUUUUUUUUGUGCACCCGGUGCACUAGUUUGUUUUAAAAUUUUAUUUUUUAUUUUUUAAUUAUAAUUUAAUAAUAUAUAUUAUGAUAUUUUUAAAAUAUAUGUAAAAUAAUUUAGAAUUUAUGAUUUUACAUAUAUAUUUAAAUAUCAUAAAAUAUAUAUCUAUUAUAUUAAAUUAAANAUUUAAAAAUAAAAAUAGUGCACCGGGAGCACCGAAAAAAAUCCGCUGCUUUCCCAAGAGGCAGGGCAGCGGGGACGGUGGCCCGGGGUGCCACGCGGCGCCCAUCCAGACUGUCCUCAAAAAAAAAAUUUUGGACAUGUUGUCCAUAAAUUUUUUGCCCGUCAACGUAAGAAGCAGAAGCAGAAACCGUAGCUCGGUAGCUCCCCUCCAAAACCAAACGCAGCAUCGGCAUCGGUUCCUCCGUCCCUUCGCCUUCCCCGCCUCAUCCGUCCCCACCAAACCAAAGCAUCCGCAUACUUCAAAAAAAGCAAAAAAAAAAAGAAAAAAAAAGAAAAAACAAGAAAAAAAAAAAGAGAGACAUAUAUAUAGGACUCAACGAGGAGACUCGGAGGUGCGCCGUGCGAUGGCUCUCCACGCCGCCGCUUCCUCCGUCGCCGCGUUCGCUUCGAACUCCCGACUCCGCCCCACCAACUCUCCCUCGCCGAGGGCUUUCCCCACAACGCCUCUUUUCCCUUCUUCUUCCUCCUCCUCCUCUUUCGCCCCUCUCCGUACACAUACAGGUUUCGCUCUUUCUUCCAAACUAUGCAUAUUUCAACUGAAUUUAUGUCGCAAGCAAAGAUUAUAUUAAUCUCUAAUUUUGCCUUUAUUAUCGUUGCUAUACCAAAAAAUAAAUCCUUUUUUUUUUUUCUUCUUUUGUGCGUGUGUGUGUUGAAUUGGACUGUACGAGCUAAGUUGAUUGCCUUCAGUACAGUAGAGUUACUUUCUAACACUAGUAAACUUUUUCGUUGCCAUCUGUUAGGGAUUUUAGGAAUAGCCUGCUGUCCCUGUACUGAAUUGCAAUUGUUGUCGUAGGUUGCGUAAGAGCAGCUGCGGGCAGCAAUGGAGUUCUCGCGGCCGGCGAAUCUCCGCUCAUAGUGUGCUUCGGAGAAAUGCUGAUCGAUUUUGUCCCGACCGUCAGCGGCUUGUCGUUGGCCGAAGCCCCCGCCUUCAAGAAGGCUCCCGGGGGUGCUCCUGCUAAUGUCGCCGUUGGCAUAGCUCGGCUCGGCGGUUCGUCGGCAUUUGUCGGGAAGGUGAUGCCCGGUAGAUAGUUCGUUUAUUUAUAUCAAAUUUAGGACACACCUUAUUCCUGCUUUCUUCGCGUUUGUAAGAAAUUUUUUCAAAUGUAAGUAAUUAUCUGUGAAAUCGUGGAUUACUCACUUUAUGCAAAAGAGCUACUUCUAUGGUUGUGAAUAUUGUCGAUCAUCUAAACUGUUUAUCUGCUAUCUUUCUCUCAUUUCUCGGUUUGUCCUGUUUGUUUCGUAACAUACGUAGGUCGGUGAAGAUGAGUUUGGCUACAUGUUGGCUGAUAUCUUGAAAGAGAAUAACGUGAACAACCAGGGCUUGCGGUUCGAUCCUGCUGCUCGAACAGCUUUGGCCUUUGUAACGUUACGAAGCGACGGCGAACGCGAGUUCAUGUUUUAUCGCAAUCCUAGCGCUGAUAUGUUGCUUGAAGUAAACGAACUUGACCUUGAUCUUAUAACAAAGGUAUGUGAUGAAUGAUGACCUUGAUCUUAUAAUUAGAGAGUUCCUACUAUAUAUACCUUACUUCUGUCGUGUAUGGUUUACACAGAAUUUACCUAUUUUAUAUUUAUAUAAUGUAAUUCUAACAUCUUGAUCAUUAAUAUCUGUUCUAGGCAAAGAUCUUCCAUUAUGGUUCUAUAAGCCUUAUAACUGAACCAUGUAAAUCGGCACACGUUGCAGCAGCUAAAGCUGCUAAAGAUGCUGGAGUGCUUCUGUCUUAUGAUCCAAAUCUGCGUCUACCGCUGUGGCCGUCGGCCGACAGUGCUAGAGAGGGAAUCUUGGGCAUAUGGGAAAUUGCUGAUAUUAUCAAGGUAGCUACUUUUCUAAUGCAGUGCUUCUUGAAAUAGUUUCUUGAUCUUAUUUAGCUCAAUGUAUUGGAAAUUUGCAAUAGAUCAGCGAAGAAGAGAUUUCCUUUCUGACGAAAGGAGAGGAUCCUUAUGAUGAUGCUGUUGUGCGAAAACUCUUCCAUCCAAAUCUUAAGUUGCUGCUAGUAACAGAGGGGCCGGAUGGUUGUAGGUACUAUUCCAAGGUAUGUAUUUGCCUAUGCAAUUUCUCAAAGCUCUUUGUUAUCGUUGUCUAAUUUCCACCAGUUUUGUUUCUCUGGUGCAAAACGAAAUAUAUAUAUAUAUAUAUAUAUAUAUAUAUAUAUAUAUAUAUAUGUCUACUUAUUACUGAGGAAAACAACAGAAGCAACUUGGAAGAAAAUUGAAAUUGUAAUUGAAAUUGACAUGGCUAUCCAUGAAAUCUCGUGUCCUCUUCCUUUGCUGGACUCAGUUUUUGCACUUUGCCGCCUGUGAUUAUACUUCUACAUUUUGUUAAUAAAGUUUUCAUUAUUAGAUGUCCAAAAUACCCAGUUAUAUGUCAGAAUAAGAUCAAACUAAUUGAAAAGCCAAAAGUACCAAUCUUAACAUAUAUGAUUUCAAAUAAUAUAGGAAUUUAGUGGGAGAGUAAGUGGACUAAAGGUGACAGCUGUGGACACUACUGGUGCUGGAGAUGCCUUUGUUGCUGGAAUACUAUCUGGAUUGGCCUCAGAUUUUUCAUUGCUCCAGGUAUUACUCUCUCUAACCUACAGUUGUACCAAAAUUCAUUUUUAUGUUAUGUUGAUGUUCUACAUUUCUGUUUCUUUUUUUUUUUAUUUUUAAGCAUAUAGUAUAUUGCAUGCAGCAACCACAGCUUAUUCUCUUCUAAAUUCUAACCUGUGAAGUGAUACUCUGAUCGAGACUUACUGGAACUAUCUUUGAAUAUUAACAGGAUGAAGGAAGGCUAAGAGAAGCUCUGAAAUUUGCAAAUGCUUGUGGAGCUCUCACUGUGAUGGAAAGAGGAGCAAUCCCUGCACUACCAACCCGUCAGGCCGUUCUCGAUGCAUUGGUUAACAUAAUUGCUUAAACUAUUGCUAGUUAUAAUCCCGGGCUCAUUCAUUGUUCGCGGCCUUGUAAAAUGAUUUAGCUUUUAGAGAACCAUAUAUUCAGUGAUUAAUUUUCAAUUGCAACUUCCCGACUUCCUGUUAAGAAACAAAACAGCUUUGCCGAAAAACUCGACCAUGUACUGUUGUACUCUAAAUUAGUAUCAAAAUAAGCUGUGGAUUGAGCUAGUCUUAUUUGUAAAUGGCAUUUGGUGUAGAGUGUGUGAAAAAUUAAAGCACCAUACUUGCUUAAUGACUUGGUUUGAGCUACUCUUAUUUGUAAAUGACAUUUGGCGUAGAGUGUGUAAAAACCUGAAGCACCAUACUUGCUUAAUGACUUAAUUGGGCCACACGCCAUAAUGCCCUUGAUUGCCUGGCAUAACAACAGUAAUACGGCUCCGAUUGACCAUUUAGUUUGAUUAAUUAUCGACCAUUUAGUUUGAUUAAUUAUUGAGCGCCUUUUCCACAUGUUAUGUGAUUAAUGAUUGCAUCUGGUGACUUAAAAUGGACAAUAUGAUGAUUCAAAACAACCUAAUAAUGGAUUAAUGCAAGUUAAAGGAAAGGUAUGUAUAAAAAUGACCAACAUUAGGAGAGGGAGGUAGCAGUGCCCCGUAAAGGGCCCAUAAAAGUUGGAGAGCACAUUUUUUGGAAUAUAUAUGGAAUAUAUAGCACUGUUCGCAUACAUAAAAGUGGGUGUGUAGAGCACAAUACUUAUCUAUAGAUACUGGAAACAGAGAAGAAGUGUUGGUUUCCACUCAUAAGAACCAGAUUCUUGCAAGACACAGUUACCAGAAGGCCAACACACGACAACAAAUAUUUUGGUGUACCCGAUCAAACGCAUCAUGCAACGUCUUUUAAACAUAAGAAACAUAAUCGCUUGUAUUUCAUUUGGUAGUAUUAAGAACUAGAUCAAUGUCGACAAAUUGAUAAUGGUUGCCCCCCUCCUCAACUAAAAAAGUGAUUAUCAACAAAUGAUUGAUAAUAUAUACCACCGGUGAGGUCGCCAAAUAAUAUCACUCGAGAAGCUUAUUGCAUGUCCCAACUCCAACCGCCGCCGCAAGGUGCCAUGCAGCAUGAAGAUAGGGGGUCUCGGGAAAGCAGUCGUCGGCGAAAAAUAGUGCACCUCCUAAUAGAGAGGAAACUGUGUGAAGGUUAUGAGCCAUUCUGAGCGCUGGUUUCUCCAGUGCUUUUCUUGCGAAGGCUACCUGAAAAACACCAAGUCAACAGAUUAUUAAGAAUCUCAAGAAAGCAAACCGUUGAUGUAACCAUCGUCUGUAAAGAGAUGUGAGCUGCUUAUCAGCAGAAACAUUAAGGAAUAGAUGCAGUUCCAAUGGGAAACUGUUGAAUUUCUAUUGAUAAAACAUAAGAAUAGAUGCUUUAUUAUGACUUGCCUCCAUCAUGCCUGUGUGGACAGCUGAAACCAUCAAAGGUUGAAAUGGUAAAAGCAAUGUUGAUGCGGCCAUUAGUACUUUUGGGUUCUCUUCCCUGAGUGCCCUUGAUAGACACUGCACAGAACGAUUGUCUAGUAAGGUACAGGAAGAAAAGGUAACUCGCCCCUCAAUUGAAACUUCCCGUUCGGGAUAAAUAAUAGUAAAAGUUAUUAUGAGGCUCUUUCAGCGAAACAAAUCGAUUCUUUGCCAUUCCUAGAAAAUACAUGUAUGCCCGCUAAGCCACUACAUAGGAACAUAGGAACAACUUAAGAAGCCAAAAACAUAUGAACACGUUUGAUUCUAGCUUAUAUUUUAGGCUAGGCAGGUUUAAUGAACUGAUACCAAAUGCUUUAGAGACCUUUUUCUGCUUAAUUAUCUUCUCUCUUAUGUAUCGAUAGCAGCGAAACAAAAAUAAGAAAAUGUAUGUUUGCGCACUCUCAUGUUCUUGUGCACUCUCAUGUUCUUGCGCAUUCUCAUGUUCAAGGAAUUCAUUUAGAUCGUUGACCAUUUUUUCAGAGGAAACUCCUCAAAUAUGCACAACCAGUUGGUAAGCGUAUCAAACUUACAAGUGAAGCUGCAGCAAUCAUUGUAUAGUCUGCCCAUCUCAGAUAUUUUCUAACUUCUCCCCUUGAAGAAUGAUAUAAGCUUGAUGCGAUCCCCACUCCAACAAGCGAAUUAGCAUAUAAUGCAGUAUUCAAGUUCUUCCUGCAGCACUGAUAGGUAAUUCGUCAGUCGAUAGUGGUAUAAAGAAACAAACGAGGGUGGGGUAUACAACUAAAGGCAUUCUAAUACGAAUAAAUUUUGAAAAGGAACUUGCCGUGGAGCCCGAAGUCCGAGAAAUAUGAAAGGCAUUGAGGUCAAGACAUUUGCAAUAGUUUCCCCGAUAUGACUAUCGCCUGAUACAGGAGAUAUAUACGCAUGUCAAAGCUGAUGCAUAAAAGAAAUUGUUGGAUGUGCGCACCAAUAACGGCCUAAGUAGAAAAUACCUUGCAGACUACAUUUGAUGGGCCUCAAGCACGACGGCCUCUGCUGCCAUAGUUGCCUGAGGAAACAUGUCAUACAUUACCCUGUUAGUUAUAUUUACAUAAGAUAUGUACAAAUAGUCCAAGACACACUCGAAAAUUGCAACUAAGUUCAAUUGUAAAUGAAGAACAACUCACCUGAUUAACAAUCCUUGGCUUAUUCCGACAAUCCCCGACCCAUCACAAGCUGAUUGAUCAAAGCCGCCUUGGCGAAGAUCCUCAUCCUCUCUGUAAGAUGAUCGAUUCACAACUUGUACCCCAUGGAGCCCUUCUAAAACUCUGGGCAUUGAUGCAUCUUUGAUGCCCAUUUAUACACUCGAUGGCAAGCAACCCAAUCUAAUUUCUUAUUGGCUGGUUGUCUCAUACGGCAGUUAGAUUAUCUGCACAUGCACAAAGAAAACGACACAAAAGGUUUGGUACAAAUAACAUGUGCAAUAGUCACUCUCUGAAAACUUCAAAAUCGACUUUAGGAAGCAAAAAUCGAUCACCAGCGAGAACAGUUCAAGUUCGUCUAUGCCCCACUCAAUGUGGCGUGCAAUCACAUUAUAUAGCCCUUAGGCGGAUACAUCUGUAAUUGACUCAGGAUCAUUCUUAACAGGUGUUGGUUGGCACUCAACACGCCACUUUUUUUAUCCAGGAAUAUUAGAUGCGCAGAUUAAAUCUGUUUCGUUUUUACUUAAUAAAUAGUGAACUCCAGUUUCAUAAUGUAUAAUUAGCGAAAUUCCAAUUUUGGUCCUCUUCUGGUUGAGUAAGGCUCUAACUAAGUAACCUAAGAUUUUCAAGCCCAAAUAACCAGAUAAAAUAUCACUAUCCUUGUCCUUAAAGAUGCAAGCACAUGUUCCUACUUUUGAUGAGAACUAUUGUCGAAGAGUAAAAUCCAGCAUAAACAUAAUGGAAUUAGGCUCUACGGAAUCGAUUCAAGCUGAAAUAGUCACAAUGCCAGAGAAGCACCAAAAUUGUCGGAUAAUUUUGCCCUUAGAUUUGCACAAGAUUCAAUAAAAGAGCAAAAAAUUACUAAAGAUAAUAGGAAAAAAAAAAAAGCCUGAAAUUGAUACAUACAAUCAACAUUAAUCAGGAGAACUCAAAACCCUUGCUCUAUGAAAUCAAAUCCAAUCCCCCGAAAAAUAAGAAUUUUCUUACGAUUCUUUAUACUUAAAAAGAAAUCAUAAUCAUAAUCAUAAAAUAAGAGAAGUAAAAAAAAAAAAAAAAAAAAAAAAAAACCUGAAGAGGAGGGCGGAGAAGCAGCUUAUCGUCACCGCGCGGCUUCGGCUUUUUCUCGCAGCGAAAACAUAGGUUAAUUUGUUAAAAUAGAACAUUUUCUUUAUAGAACGAAGUUUAUAAUAAAAUUAGUAUCUUAUUUUGAAGUAACUUUUUUUUUCUUCACAUCAAGAAAACGUCUAUCUGUUAAUUUAAAGGAUUCAAAAUACGGAAGAAAGAAUUUGAAGCAAACUCUAACGCAGUGCACGCCACUCUUUCAUACUAACUUUUUAUAAAACUAACAUAAAACAUGCAUUAUAACGCAAGAUAUAUAACACUACUCGGCCAAUAUUAUAUAAAAAAUGCCGAGAUAGCCUCUUGCAUUUUCAUAUAGGGAUAUAUAUAAAAAAAGAUUGAAAUAAAAUAGAUUAUCGCAGUUUAUUUGGAGUUAUGGUUUGAUUUGUAAAGGAAAAAAAAAAGGUCGAAAUAAUAGAGAGCCGAUAUUUUUAGCACCCUGUAAGAGCUCUAAUGCGAUGCGAAGCAGUCCAGACUAUAACCAAAUUGGUUGGUGUUGUGCGGUGCAAUAUUAGUCUAAAUCUCUGGCGUAUCCUGAGUGUGUCGGCCCAACGCAACCGUGAAGUAUGCCCCGCUUAGUUUAGGGGAGGAGACGGCUUAGGCGUCUCUCUCUCCCUCCCUUUGCAGCUUCGCUAUCUCAUCGCCCUCCCUUAACCCCUUAUAGGCAUAUUAAGGGGGCGCAUUCUAGGAAAGCCUUAGGCGUAGCAAAGAGGCUAAGGGAGGGGGGGGAGAGAGAGAAAUAUAUAUGAGCAGGGGGUGCGUAGGGGCNAUAAAAUUGUUUAAUUGGAUACUAAUAAUAUUUUGUAUAUAUAUACAUAAAAGUAUGGAGAAUUUUAUAAUUAGAUGUUAAAAGUGAUGUAUGAUUCAUUUAUUUCAGAUUGCAUAAAAAAUUAAAAAUACCGAUAAAAUGGUGGGUCAUUUACUGCUUAUCACAAGGGUUAAGAUCGACCAAAUAUAAAAAUUUAAUGAUAAUUACAAAAAAAAAAAGCCUAUUUAAAUACACAUGCAAAUAGUCAGUGGAUAUAUCAAAUAUAAAUAUAUAGAUAAAUCUGUUUGGAAGAUCAUAUUCAGGUUCAUGGCAGUUAGUUACAUUCUUAUUGAUGUACAUGCCGGGUGAACACAAACCAAUUUUUAAAUUAAUACUCCUAUAAUUUGAAAUUGUGUAGAUUGCAUAUUUGUGUAAACGCAUACUAAUCGUAUUCCCCAUGAGAGUGCGCUGAGAAAAGAUACUUGACAUUAUAAUUUUUUAAAUUUUAUAUAUAUAGUUCGACUACUACAUUCUUAUGAGUAUAGGUACUUCUUUGUUGUUGAAGCAUAAAAAAAAAAGGGGGAAGAAGAAGAAAAAAAGGAGCAAGAAAAAAGAUAGAAAGAGAGAAAAUUUGAAUAAUGGUGUAUGAGAUGAUCCAUACACUACGCAUGGAAAAAUUCGAGUUUAAAUUUUGAGUCUGGUGCAUAGGUUAAUCCAUGCACCAGGUGCAUAGAUUAUAAAAAGUGGGAUGUCCUCGUAGGCAUGAAUGGAUAUUACAAAUAGCAAAUUAGUCCUUUCCCUUUCAUAUGCUCCUUCAAACAUAUAAUAUUCUGUUAUUUUAACUAAGAUAUAAUAUAAACAAAUGGGAAUGACUAAUAUGUAAUUUAAUACCUAUGAUCCCAUAAUCCUACAUCGUAACUUCCCACAAACCUCACCAUAUGCACUUCCAUACGCACAUUCUCCCGGGUAGUUAGACUAGACCCAUAAAUAUCUCUCAAUGAGAAAAGAAAAAGAGGACACAGAUUUGAACCUUCAAACAUAUUCCUAAACAAAAAAAUCCAUCCCAUCCCCCUGUUCACGAAAGAGAAAAAGAAAGGUAUAAUAUUUUUUUCUUCACCAUUAAUGCCACAAUCAAAGCUCUCUCUCUCCCUCCUAAAAAGUAAAAAAAAAAUAAAAAAUAAAAGAAAAAGAAAAGAGGGGCCCUCUGUAUGUCCACCCUCAUCAAGCCCCUCCUUCCCGCUCCGCCCACUCCCCCAAGCUCCUCCGCGGCCUCCGCGACUGCAUCGACUCCGACGUCGCCGCGAUCCUCCGCACCGCCCACUCCAUCAAGGCGCAGCUCGAAGCCCUCGACGACUCCAACGCCGCGAACCGUGCCCUCUCCCCGCGCUUCGCCGCGGGGAUCUCCGUCGACCGCACCAGGAUUUCGGUUACCCACGGGAUCAGGGCGAAGCUUCGCGACGCCAUGAUCGGGUUCCAGAAGCUCAGGAAGACGAUCCUCUCCGACCACAAGGAGACCCUGAAGCAAAACUACUACAACGCCACGGGAAAGCUCGCCUCCGACAAGGUGCUCGACGAAAUGCUCAAGUGGAGCGGCGACCCCAUGGAUCCGCGGUGGCCGUGGUCACCAUCAACCGCCCGGGCGCGCUCAACUCGCUCACGCGCCCCAUGAUGGUCGCGCUCGCAGGCGCGUUCCGCCGCCUCGACGCCGACGCCGGGCGCGGCCGCGCCUUCUGCUCCGGCGUCGACCUCACCGCCGCCGAGGAUGUCUUCAAGGGCGACGUCAAGGACCCCGCCGCCGACCCCGUCGCCGCCAUGGCCGUGUGCCGCAAGCCCAUCGUCGGCUCCAUCGCCGGAUUCGCCGUCACCGCCGGGUUCGAGAUCGCCCUCGCCUGCGACUUGCUCGUCGCGGGCGGCGACGCCAAGUUGGUCGACACCUCGCCAACCCCUGCGCUGCCAAAGCCGUCCGAUCCUCACCGAUCCUGCGCUGCCGAAGCCGCCCGAUCCUCGCCGAUCCUGCGCCGCCGAGGCCGCCUGCUCCUCGCCGACCCCUGCGCCGCCGAAGCCGCCUGCUCUUUCGCCGAGCGCCUCGUCGCCUUCGCCUGCGUCGAGGGCUUCUUCUCCGGCUCCUGCUGAGCCAUCUUCUGGCUCAAGAAGCGUGGCCUCAUGCCCGGGCUCACCUUCUCCAACGAGCUCAUCUCCCGCGACGAGGGCCUCCACUGCGACUUCGCUUGCCUCCUCUACUCCCUCCCAGGGCUGGCAAACGAGCGAGCCGGCUCGCGUUCGACUCGUGUUCGGGUCGAUAUUCGACUCGCUCGAGCUCGACUCGAAAUUGAAUGAGCCGAGCUUGAACAAAAUAAAAGGCUCGAAAUUCAUUUCAAGCCGAGCUUGAGUAUUACUCGGCUCGUUCGAAUUAGGCUCGAAAAGCUCGAAAAGCUCGAAUAUAUAUAUAUAUAUAUAUAUAUAUAUGUAGUAUAUAUAGAGUAAUGUAUAUAGAUAUAUAUAUUAUUUAUAUAAGGUAAAUACUAUCUAUAUAGUGCAGCUAUGGUGCUUGUACAAGCACCAAGCACUUGGUGCUUGUAAGUUUUGUACCGUUAGAUCUACUCCUUUGAUUAUUUCCAACCAUUAGAUUAUACUAUUCAACCAAUCAUUCCACUCAACCCUAGGGGGCCCACAUCAUCCUAAUUGCAUAUCUCUUAAUUCAAUGGCUAAAAAUUUACAAGCACCAAUAACUUGAUACUUUUAAAAGUAUCAAAGCUCAAUUCUCUCUCUCUCUCUCUCUCUCUCUCUCUCUCUCUCUAUAUAUAUAUAUAUAUAUAUAUAAUGUAUUUUAAUUAUAUAUAGGCUUUAAUUUAAUUUGGACUAUUAUUGUUUGCCCAUAAAAUAAACCCAACAAGUACAACCAUGCAAUUGAGCCCAACUCUAAAUUUACAUAACACACUCUCUCUUUCAGACUUUCACUAUUGCACAUAAUACUAAAACAUGAUAACAUUCAAAUUCUCAAAUCCCUAAUUUUUUUUCCCCUCUCUCUCUCUCUCCUUCUCCCUCAGACCCUCACCCAGUCAGGCAGUCACCCUAGCUCACAUUUCUUGCAAUUAUUUUGUAUUUUGAACUAUUGAACAUAUUGCAUCAAAUUGUAGGUAAUGUUAUAUAAAAAUUAAACUAUUGAUUAUAUAAUGUCGGGAAUUUCAAUAGGCUCGUUUAGAGCUCGAGCUCGGCUCGACUCGAAAUUAGGCUCGCUCGAGCUCGGCUCGAAUUAAUUUCAAGCCGAGCUUGAGCCUAGAUUUAGGCUCGAAAUUAAUUUCAAGCCGAAUUUGAGCUGACAUAAGCUCGCUCGAGCUCGGCUCGUUUCCACCCCUACUCCCUCCUUCGCUCCGCGGCGGCGCGCAACCCGCGCACGCUCGACGAGACCCUCAGCGCCGCCGACGCCGAUCCCUUCAACAGGAAGCUCUUUGUCCACGGCCUUGGGUGGGAAACCACCUCCGAGGGGCUCCGCGCCGCGUUCGCCCGAUACGGCGAGAUCGAGGAUUGCCGUGUUGGUUUCAUCCAAUUCCGUCACCGGAGCUCGGCGAGCCGCGCCCUCCGCGAACCCCAGAGGCUCAUCGACAACUGCAUGACCGCGGGCCAGCUCGCCUCCACCAAACUCACCCCCGCACUGAACCAACUCGUCACCGCUCACCAGGUGUUCGAUCUGUGGCCACAAUGAGCCAUGGCGUCGGUCCAGGCUGUGGCGCUCAAGGCGGAGCACGCGUAGGCGGUGGACGCGCUGCAGAAUGCGCCGCAAUUGGUGUGCGGCGGCAGGCGGCCUGUGGACGCCAACAGCGAGCUCUUGGCCGCCGGCACUUUCGUUGACACCUGCCAGGACUCGUUCGACGAGUUCCUAGACGUCGACGGUUCGCACCUCGCAAACGUGCAGCAGGCUCGCCAAUAACAACAUCAGCCUCGCCGCUUACAAGGCCGCCUAGGAUGUUGCUAUGACGGAGUUGGCGCCAACGAAUCAUGCCUACCAAUUGUUUGACGAAAUGCCCAUGACACAUCUUUCGACGGCGAAUCCAAUCUGUACAUAAAGAGAGAGAGCGGUGCUCUUCUCUUUAUAAAAAAAUGUGUUAUUAAAAGAGAAAGAGCGGUGUUCUUCUCUUUAUAAACAAUAUAGCAUCAUCGAAAGAGAGAGAAAGCGGUGCUCUUCUCUUUGCAAAACAAAAAAAUAUUAUCAAAAGAGAGAAAGAGAUUACUUCUCUAAUUAUGAAGGAGAGAGGGAGCUUUGUUACAAAAAGAGAGGCGAUGAAGAGAUUUUCCCACCUUAGUUGUCCCAUGAAUGUAAAAGAGACAAAAGAAGAUCUAUCUUUGUUGUCUUAUAUUUUCAAAGGAGAUAAAGAGAAAAAAUGUGUUCUCUUAAUUCUCCUACAAUGAAGAGACAAAAGAAAAUUAGUCGGAUUACCGAUUAAUAUUCUUUUGAUCGUCCUUUUAUUGGAAGAACAAUGUAAUGUUCGAAAAUAAUCGAACUCUUUGAUUCUAUCCAAAGUUGAAUCUUUCGAUUUGGUCGAAUUAGACCAAAUUGAGAUUUAAUCGCAUUAGACAUUUUAUGUGAUUCACGACUGAGAAUUUGACAAAUAAAAAAAUGCAUUCGAAAUUUUUAAGCUAUGAAUUUGAUUCUGAAUCUUACAAUCUCAUAUGAUCCCAAAUUAACCACCUCAAAACAAUGGACCAAGCCCGUUCUCACCUCAAAUCUCAUAACCCAAGCUCAACAUGACCCAAGUUCAGCCCAAACAUAAAUUUGGGCCCAAUUCUAUGACUUGCUUAAAAGAAAAUUUGGACUUAUGCCAUACGGGCCUAAAUUGAGCCCAAGCCCACAUGUAAUUCAAACCUCCACCUGAAUCCAUAUUAAACGGGCCUAAACUGGGCCUAUGCCUAUAUCCAGAACUUAAAAUUUAAUUCAGGCCUCAACUUGAGUCCAUACCAUAUAGGCCUGGAUCUAGUCCAUGUUGGAAUGCAACUAUAUGGACCCAAAUUUGGACCAUGAAUGAAUCCAUCCGAGAGUUGAACCAUAACUUGAAGCUAUACCUAGCCCAAGUUUGAAUUCCAAACUGGUUCAUAAAAAUGGCUAAAUCGAAUAAAAUCUAAAUUGAAAACCAAUUCAGACCAACAUCAAACCCAAAAAUCUAACCCAAACCAAGACCUUAAAUCAUGCCUAUCAGAUCAAAUAUGAAACCAAACUCUACCAAUUUGUUAAGGGCAAAUCUUUUUAAUCCAAUUCUCUAGCAUAUUAAGCUAGAGUCAUAUUGUUAUCACAUUCAUAUUAGAUCAAAUUCUAAAAUAUUUGUUUAGAAUUGAUCAAACCAUCUAUUAGGUUUCACCUAAUCAGUUCAAUUGAACUCUAAUACACUUACUUAGAGUUCAAAUAAAUGAAAUUGAAUUAGACUCUAAUACAUACACUUAGAGUUUAAUUUAAAUUACAUUUGACUAAUCCUAAUAUAUAUAACCAGGAUUUAGUUGAUAUUUUACCUCAUGGUGAACCCAAAUUAGUCUCUAAUACAUACACUUAGAGUUUAAUUUAAGUUAAGUUAUAUUUUGACUAAUCCUAACAUAUAUAACUAGGAUUUAAUUGAUAUUUCAUCUCAUGGUGAACCCAAAUUAGACUCUAAUACAUACACUUAGAGUUUAAUUUAAAUCAAAUUUUGACUAAUCCGAUUUAGUUAAUAUUUCACCUUAUGGUGAACUCAAUGUGAGGUGUAAUUAAGCUCAAACAUAUAAGCAUAGAGCUUAAUUACAUUAGACUCUAAGAUAUAAAAUUAGAGUCUAAUUCGAAAUAUUUGGACUAAUUCUAACACAUACAUUUAGGAUGAAAGCUUAAAUCAAUUUAAUCAAAUCAAACUCUAAUGCACCUAACUAGGGUUUAAUUUGAAUCAAAUCCGAUUAAGUCCCAAUGCAUAUACAUGAAAUUUAAUCAAUCCCUCACCUAUGGUGAACAAUAUUGUUGAGCACUGAAACAUAUAGAGCCCAAUCAAAUCAAUUUGAUCAUACACUUUGAUUCAGAAUCAAGUUCAAUCAACCGUCAUAUUCAUUCAUGUACAUUGGGGGUAUGCCCCUGGUUAAGCCAUGUAACUAUACAAUGGAUUAUGUUAUAAAAUCCACCUUUUAUUCAAUUUCAGUCUAUUUCAGCAUUACAGAGGUCUCUUAAUCGAAGGUGUCCUAACACUUUGAAGGGAUAAUUAACAAUAAACGCUUGCGUUUAUUGGAAGCCAUGAAUCCACAAUACCUGAUAACCAUAUAUAAUUAAAUCUUAAUCUGAAUCAUGAAUACUACCCCAUGGGAAUUUGAAAAUAAGAUUAACCGUGCAAGGUGUGUCAUUCGUGGUCGCAGACAUUUGUAUUCAUAAGUUUUCAGUCGUUAGAUUUACCUUUUUGACCAUUUUCAUCCGUUAGAUUAUAAUAUUCAACAAACCACUCGCUCAACCCUAGGAGACCACUAUCAUCCUAACUGCACAUCCCUUCAUCCAACAGUUGAAGACUUAUGAGCACAAAGUAAAUUAUACUUAUAAGAGUAUAGUAGCCCUACUUUCUCUCUCUCUCUCUUUAUAUAUAUAUAUAUAUAUAAAUCUAAACAUAUGAUUCCGAUACAAAUUCAAACCUCUCCUCUCUGAAGUUAAAGGAAACACAAUAUGGAGUAUUGGAGUGGAGUAGGGCUACCAUUAUUUCUUUUUCUUUUUUUUUUUUUGAGAGAUAGGUAGCACGCUAUCCGUUUCGUUUAUUUCAUUUAGAAAUAAACUUAGCUGGAAAUGUGAAUCAACUAGAAUUCGAACUUGGGACCUGGGGUACCAACCAUCAAACCCUUUUGCCACUUGCUCUAGGGACGGUCGGUGGCUACCGUUAUUUCAAGUGAAAAACAAUUGGUAGGUGUAUUAGCUUAACACAAAAGCUAGUACUACAAUUUUUUUCUUGAACAUAUAUAAUUAGUAUAAUGAACUGUAUCGCUGUACUAAUCUUAUUUUUCUAAUCCUACUUUUCUUUGUGUGAGAUCUUUUUAGUUACUAUUUUUGUAGUUGCCCAACGCACGAUUUGAAGUUCUUUCACCAAUUUGUUAGCAUUGUACACAGCAACCACUAAGCCAAACCUCUAGGUGGGGUGGGUGAAAGAGAACUAACCUCUAUAGUGCGCACUUUGGCUUGGAAAUUAACAUUUCUUUGGAAAUUAGCACGACCACUUUCCUUUGCAAUGUUGUUUUACUUCCCUUUUUGGUAAAAAUCUGAUCUUAUCCCUCAUAUUUGUAAGUUCUUCUUUUAGGCACAUCUUCUUUUAGCUUGUUACAGUGUAAAAACUCAAUUUAGAUCAAUACUAACUUUAACAGAAGAAAAAAAAUGAAUUGUUUGGAGAAUGAUUUAGUGAAUGAAGGAAGCUAUUAAUUUAGACACUUAAGUUGGGGUUGAAACUUGAAAUACAGAAUUAGUAAUUGGAAAAUCCUUUUAUUCCAUAGUUUUAUUUUAUGCAACAAUAUUCUACUUGUAUGUAUCGCAAUCUAAUAGGACUUAAAGGCCCAAUAUUAAUUCUACACGCAAGUAGAGUGGUAUGACAUGCACUAUCUAUUUUUGUGAUGAAAAAGAGAUUCUAAGGACUUCAAUAUGCUGUUAUAUGUACUAGAAUCAAUAAGAGAGAAACACUCGAAAAGUACUUCUAUAUCUUUUCCUUCACGUACUACAACAGAAAACAAAAUAAAUAAACAAGACGAGUCUCGCAUCCAUCUGAAUUACGACACAAUUUAAUUAAAACACCAUCAGAAAUUUAACAAAAUAAAUAAACAAGACGAGUCUCGCAUCCAUCUGAAUUACGACACAAUUUAAUUAAAACACCAUCAGAAAUUUAUCACGUAAUCGUAUUACUGGAUCGCCUAGUUUUAUGUUAUUGUGGAGGUUUGGAUGGUAGUCUCAAAUUGUGCUUAUGUUGAGUAGAUCUAAAACUUUUUUUCUCCAGGCGCGCGGUACAUAGUCUUUUACUGUCCCUUGUCCUUCACUGAAAAUUAAAAAUUUCAAGUGAUAACUAGCUUGAAAUGAUCAAAUAAUAUUGCUACUUAUCCAACUUCAAAAUCAAAUGUGAGUAAAAAAUUGGUGAGCAGAAAUUAUGGUUUCUUUAGACUGUAUGUAGAGCCAUUAUUAUACAAUGUGUACGUAGGGAAAAACUUUGAAACAGUACUCAUAAAGAAUUCUUUUGAUAUACUGAUAACACUCUGAAUGCUAUCAAUAAACUAUCAAAAAAAAAAUGUAUAUUGUGAAUAGCAAUACAUAAACAACGGACAAAAACAAGUUAAAAAAACUAUUUUAAUUUAUCUAUCUAUAAUAUUGUUUUCACAAUUUAGAUUGGGCUUAAGUACACCCCACUACGCUGUAUUUUUGUUUUAUCUGCUAUAUUGUACUAUACUAUUCUUUUAAAAGAUACCAUCAUUCUAUCAUUUUUUAUCAAUUUCUACAGUAUAUUUUAGAGUUAUUGUGGUAUUCUAUUUUAUACUCGUAUUCUCAUAGAUCUCAUUAAGUUAUCUUUAGGGAAAACUUCAAAAACCCCCCCUGUGGUUUCGUGCAUUCUCACUUUGCUACCCUGUGGUUUAAAAUGUAUCAAUUUACCCCCCUGUGGUUUCAUUUUUAUCUUUUCGGAAGCUUUUUCGUUAAUAUUUCGUUAAAUUAUAUACAAAAAACUUCAGAUAACCAUCUAUAUUUAUCAAAUAGUCACUUUAGUAUCCUUUAAUUUUAACUUUGUCACUGAUUUUAAAAAAAAAUAAUAAUAAAAUUGAUAACAAAAAGAUAAAAACGAAAUCACAGGGGGGCAAAUUGAUACGUUUUAAACCACAGGGUAGCAAAGUGAGAAUGCACGAAACCACAGGGGGGGUUUUUGAAGUUUUCCCUUAUCUUUAUUUCGGCAAUCUAUAUAUAUGUCUUACUAUAUAUUAAUAAAUUAAUUAUAUUAGACAAAUUAUAAGAAGUUUAUUAAAAAGCAAAAGUUUGAUCCCAAGAAAAAUACAAAAUAAUAAAUCUUCAACAUAAAUUCAUUAAAAUUUUCGAUAGAUCUGUUUUAACCCAAUUCUUCCUUUUCUUUUGCGUUUUUUCAUUUUUUUCUGUUAAAUUCGAUUAAAUAUAUACUUGACUAUUUUGAAUCAGUACUUUUUCAGUAAAACUAUUCAAUUUUAUCUAAAAUAAUUUAAUAAUAUAUUUUUCUAAAAUAAUAGUACAAUAUAUGUAGCUAGGUUAGUGCAACUAAGGAGUUUAGAAUCUUAGAUUGCACCUCUUGUAAAAUCAUGCAGUUGGCGCAACACCGCUGCGAAAAGCAGUAGAGACUAGAGAAUGUGAGGGGACUAGAGCACGCACGUCAUGAUGGCGUGCUGAUGACAUCAAUUGUCCGGUCCCACCCCCCACCCCUCCUCCUCUCGGUGGUGGAUGCUGGUGGUGGCAUCAUUUCUCCCUCUCUCUCUCUCUCUCUCUCUCUCUCUCUCUCUCUCUCUCUCUCUCUCUCUCUCUCUCACACACACACACACACUCUCUUUGUUUCUACAGGACCAAGCCUAGAACGAGAAAAGAUUAAACAAAGGGGCGUCCGAAACCCUAGCGCGUUUCCAACCCAACCAUCAUAUUUAAGAGGGGGAGAGAGAGAGAGAGAUGGGAUAAAUGCAUAGGGAGAUAGUAAGGAGUAUAUAGUGCGCAGCAGGACACAAUCAUUUGGUCGUUUCUGGGGAGGGGAGGAAGGAGAGAGAGGAGGCGUGGAACUGCAAAAAGCUAAUCACCAACGCAGGCGCAGGGGACAAAACGUGGUUCUUCAACCAGGUGGACCUUUUUAUACCCUCCCCCUUAAUCAAUUUAUUAAUGUCUUACUUUUAAAAUAUAUAUAUACAUACUCUGUACCCUUUAUUAUUGACCCCUCAUCAGCCCUGGUCGGCUCCACUACUGUUACAAAGAAAACCCCAUUUUUCUAAUAAAACAAUAAUAUAAUAAUAAUAAUAAUAAAGUUAUAGCGCAAAAGGAGCUCGUAGUGCCGUACACGAGCUUCCCCUCCUCCUAUGUGUGUACAUGUGUGCUCGCGCUGAGGCUUCCGCACCUUCCUCGUCGAGCACUUAACCAAGGUCCAAGCAAAAAAAAGAAAAAAAAAAAAACACACACACACACACACACACAACACAAAAAGCGAAGGUAAAAGAAGCGAGAAAGGCUUAAAAGGAGACCGACCAUUGACUGGAAAAGCUAACGAAGAAGAUAGAGAUCGAGAUCGAGAAAGAGAGAAGCAGCAGCAGCAGAAGUGGGAAGGGAGAGAGGGAGGGAGGGAGAGAGGGAGGGAGGGAGGGAGAGAGGGAGAAAGAAGCACAAACUUUGCUAUGUGGGAAGAUAGAGUUCACGGUCUCCACUACACCGCCACGAACACUUCUUCUACUAGUACUACUACUGGUGCGACGAUACUCGGAGGCGACACCGCAACCGGUCUCUUACACAACCCCACCACUAUUCUCCCAUGGGCGGUAAACCCUAGCGCCUACUCUCUUCCUUAUCAUGCUCCCUUCAACGGCGACUUUUACCAGCCCGAGAGGAAUUUUCCGGCGUUGGGCGCGUCGACGGAUCAAGCAGAUCUGUCGGGCCUGCACAUCGGCUCGUCGACGGAGAGACUCCUGCACGGGAAAGCAGGGGGGUUGGCGUCGACGAUGUCGAUCUUCGGGAGCCUCCACGCGGAGUUCGGCAAGAUGAGCGCCAAGGAGAUCAUGGACGCCAAGGCGCUCGCCGCCUCCAAGAGUCACAGCGAGGCCGAGCGCAGGCGCCGCCAGCGCAUCAACGGCCAUCUCGCCAAGCUGCGCAGCUUGCUUCCUAACACCACCAAGGUGAGAUCAGUAACAAUAAUUAAUUCCUCCCAUUAAUCCACUAUAAUUAUUAUUAUUAUUAUCAUUAUUUCCGUCAUCUGUAAAUUAUCUGAAGUCGAUAUAUGCAUAUAUAUUCGGGGAUCUCACAUGGAUUUUACAUAUAUUCUAAAUUAAAGAUACGAACGAACGAGUGGUGCAAUCACUCUUUGGGCGUGUUUGUUUGUUUUUUCCUGAUCUUCCAGCAGGAAACUCGCUCUCUUGUCGGAGAUUGAACAUGAGGUGUGUUUGGAGGCGUAUGCUAUGUUUCCUACCAGCACCAAGUCAAAGAUCACACAUACAGGCGCUUAAUUCUAUCCUUCCACAAACUGAUGAUGAUUUUUCUUGGGCUGCGAGAAUUUAGAGAGAGAGAGAGAGAGAGAGAGGAGAAAAGAGAGGACAAAGAGGUGGAAAAGAGCCGCCGAGUUGAAUGUUGUUUGACGCUCAAAAGGGAAACCGGAGGAGCAGAAUUUGAACAGAUCAGCUUUUCGUGGGAGCUGCUUCUGCCGGAAAACUAAAAAAAAGCUCCUAAGAAAGACAAACACGCGCACCCCCUUCUUGUCAGAACCCAUUAUUAAAGCUGAACCGGAAAAAAAAACAAAAAAAACAAAAAAAAAAAAAACGGGCACCACCACUAGUCGCACGGUUCUGCAGCUUUUUUUUCCCCACGCCCAUAAUCCCCCGUCCAUAUCCACACUCCCUAACCGAACCUAUUAUUCCCAUUCAAUUGUUCGUUAUAUAUUUCAGAAACAAGUCUAUUAUGUAGAUCUAAUGGAUAAGAAUUAUAAGCUCUUAUGAAUCGCUGUUGAUUUGAUAUUAACAACAGCAGUCAUUUUAUUAUUAAAAAAAAUAAUACCAGUUGUAUUAGUAUGUCAAGAAUACAUAUCUAUGAUUCGAAUGAUGCAUAUUGAAUGGUGAAUCUGUUCAAUUUGAAUAUAUAUAUAUAAAAGUUUUUUUUUUUCUUUUUUAUUUCGUUAAUGCGGAACCAAUACAAUUCAAAUUGAGUUAUAAUUGUUUUGGUUCCUCUCUAUAUAUAAUGUGACAGACGGAUAAGGCGUCGCUGCUGGCGGAGGUGAUAGAGCACGUGAAGGAGCUGAAGCGGCAGACGACGGCGAUCACGGCGGAGGGCGGCACGCUGCUGCUGCCGACGGAGGCGGACGAGCUGACGGUCGACGCGGCAGGCAGCGACGAGGACGGGCGGCUGGUGGUGCGGGCGUCGCUGUGCUGCGACGACCGCUCCGACCUCAUCCCCGACCUCGCGCGGGCCCUCAAGUCGCUCAAGCUCCGCGCCCGCCGCGCCGAGAUCGCCACCCUCGGCGGCCGCGUCAAGAACGUCUUCAUCAUCACGGCCCACGACGACGCCUGCCAUAGCGACUGCGUCGCCUCCAUCCAAGAAACGCUUCGCGCCGUCAUGGACAAAAAAACUGCCACCAGCGACACGUCAUCGUCCAGCAGCGGAAUCAAGCGGCAGCGGACGAACCGCGUAGAUGAGCAACAAGGUUCUAUCUAAUUAACUAAUUUCUAUAUAUUCUCUUACCAUCUUGGGUACGUGCUUAAUUAGAUUUUUAUCUGCAUGGUGUUGGAGUGUUGUGGUGUAUGUGUGUGCGUGGGCGGUGCAUAUAUGUGUGCACUUUUAACAAGAGGGAGAAUUUUAUGUAUCCCUUUGUUGUUGGGUGGUUUGCAUGGGGAUGAGCUAGGAAGGGCUUUGAGUGGUGUUUCUAGGGACAAGGUUUGGGUUGUGAAAAAUAAGCGGAUCUGAUUAUAUCAAUGGGAGAAGAUAAGUUGGGUUUGUGGCUUUAAAUGAUAGAUUUAGUCGACUAAUCUCUAUGCAUCUCUAUGAUAACUAUAUAGGUCAAGCAUCUGCAUUGGUUUUAGGAGACCUAUAAACCUAAAAUCAUAAUAUAUCUCGCAUAUUUUUCUCUUGAAUUUAUGUUUAAUUUCGAUCUCGUGUGCGUUAGAGAUUUUAUGUUCAAUUUUAUGAUUUCUUUUGAUCAACUAUAUAUUAUUUAGCACUAAUGUAUGUCGAAUACACAAUUUUAAAACAUCUGUCUCUGGUUGUUUAAUUACUUUAAAAUUCAGUUAUUUCAAUUUUCUAUAUUUAAAUCAAGUUCAUUUGUAUAUGUUUUGAAAAAAUGUCAGGCCAUUUAGUGUCGAGUCCUUUUAUGAGUUUUUUUUUUAAAAAAAAAUCAUGUAAUCAUGUGCCCAUUGGUACUUGGCUUGUUCAUUUUUGUAAAAAAAAUAGAGCAGGUUAAAUUUUUUCUUUCUCUUUCUCGAACAAAAAAUGUUGUGAAUAACACUGUAAUUUGGCUUUCCUUUCUUCUUUUUAUCUUUUUUUACAAGCAUUCAUUAAUUGGAGCCUUUGGACUAUGUUAGAAUUAUAGUUUUUUUGUUUUUUUUGGGUAAAUGUGUUCUACUGCUUGUCUAAUUAUUACAUCUUAGUUGUCUAUGUAUAUCCUGAUACAUAUAUGUUUCUUGGACUCGGAAAUAUUAUAGAAACAAUAUAUUUGACCUUUGCAUGAAGAACACGAGCCAUAUUUUAUAUUGUUACUUUACCGUUCUUCGUGUUUAGUUUCCACCCCUUCAUGACCAUAUCAGAAGCAAAGGUUCUUCACUAGUGAUAGCAUGUAAUUUUUAGUGAUAAAUUACUUUAAGAGUUUGUCGGCGAAACUUUCCUUUUUAUUGGUGCUUUAUACAAUUAUCUUUUGUUUUUCUUUUACAAUACUCUCUGGGAGGGGGGUUUCUCUUUCCAGUUUUCGUUCAAAAAAAUUUAUCUGCUUUUGCCACAUUAGUGUGCAAAAAUAUUCAAAUGGGGAAUAUGCAUGUUUCAUAUUAAGAGUAAUGCUUCUAUACUUUUUUUUUUUUCCUUACCGUUCAAUCACUCCCACUCAACGGUACAGAUUUAAUUUUCUUAAAAUUGUGACCUACAAUAACAGGUCAUUUUAGGAAUGGUACCGGUCACCAGGUACCUCAAAAAAGGAUAUUUUUGUCUUUUAAUACAUGAGCAAUUUAGUCAUUUUAUCUCUAUUAUAUUAUUAAAAUUUUAUUCUCUCUUUAUUUCUUUUUUCUUUCUCUAUCUUUCCUCUCAUAUUUGGUAUUUCAUAUAAGAAAAUUUUCAAAUUAUUUGACAACAAGAAUAUGAGAUUAUUUUGUGAACCAACUAUGGAUUUUUUUCUCUAUACAUCUUGAAUCCAACCCGAAUCAUAUAUAAAGUUUAAUAUUAUAUUCGAAUUUAUAUUUUAAAAUUUUAAAUUUAAUAUAAAAUAUUUUGAAAUAUGGUAAAAAGAAAUAAUUGUUUCGGGUUCCAGUCUUUCGGUUUGGAUUUGGUUUUGGGUUUAAAAAAAUUGUUUAGUUUCGGGUUUAGAUAUGGAUUUUUGAAAUCCAUCGAGUUUAGAAAUAGAUUUUGUGAUUGUUAAUCAAAUUCGAAUUCAAAUUUCUAACCUUUUUUUUUCUGAAUAGUAAUCCUAAUCUUUUUAAUUUUUAUGUUUAAACUAAAUUCGUAAAUUUCUAAACUAAAUUUGUAAAUUAAUGCCUAAUUAAUGCCUAAAUUAGGGUAAUCAAUUAAUUUCCUAAAUUAGUGCAAAUUAAUGUAUAAAUUUAGGAUAUCAAUUAAAAGUUUCUUUAAAUGAUGUAUAGUUUAAUUACCGAAAUAACCUCGAAUGAUGUAACCCAUUUACCUGCUAAAUAUUAAAAUUACACCUUUACCCUCUAUUAAUCAACGGUUAAGUUUUAUUUUAUUUUUUUAAUAAUAAAGUACCGAAUCAUUUCUCUCAUAUUAAAAUUAC
rnacentral:lncRNA from 1 species